rnacentral:lncRNA from 1 species
CCUGGCAACAAAGAAACAGAGUCGAUAUACGAAGAUGAUUUUACUAACAAGUGAGAGCUUGCAAAUAUUGGAAGGAUAACGAUUGCUCAUAACCCAAAUCCCCAAUACCCUCUAAUAUCUCACUCGAGUGAGUUCAAGCCCCCAAAAUUCACUACAGUGAAACUCUCGAAACAAAAUUCUCUUCAAAUAUUCUCAACUCAAAUUUGAUAAUGAUAUCUCUUGAAGGAAGGCAAAAAAUCUAACACUGAUCAAAUUGGCUUGUGAACAAUUAAUGUUCCUGGCCAUCAUUCAUACUAGGUGUGGCGAACAAUUAAGCUGCUUAGUAUCCUGAACCUGAUAACUUACACAAACAAAAACAACUUGCCUAAAGUUUAAUAUUUAGAGGCAGAACGGUAAAGAAGAAGAUAUAUAUUGAUACUAAAAUUUGACUUGCGUUACCCUGAUGUCAAGAAUAGCGGGAUCUCAUGUGGGCAAAAUCUUCGCAAUACGAGAUGCUUGCAAAAUUGAAGCAGCAUCUUAUCACCUGUAAUUUAAUUAAGAUAAUAACUUUCCCCGACUAUUUCAAUGCAUUAUUGGCAACUAAAUUCAGAGGGCGCUAAUUAAAUACCCUUUUAACAAUAUCUUCUUAUUCUUCUCUAAUCUAGCAGUUAUUUGGAAAAUCUAAAUGACAGUCAUGCAUCAAUGGCGUCAAAAUUUGGCUACAAAGCAGCCUACAAAAGGCUUCACCCUCUGAAUGAGAGCAUGAAUUCGAAUAAUAUGAUGAAUGAAGAAACAAAGGCAUAAUACCACAAGAAGUCAAACUUUUCCCCAGAGCUCUGUUUCUGUUUGUGCUAAAGCAAAUGGAAACCAGUGGAAAUGAAUUUCUAUGAACUAGACAUAUCAGCCAAAACAGGUACUCUGUGCAAGCAAAGUAAAAAAGAGUUACAAACAAAUUUAAGAUUGAUAUGAUAAUUAAAAUUUCAGUCACCAUAUAAUUAAUAGAAAACUUUGUACACAAUGAUUUAUUGCAUAUUAAGAUUGUAUACCUAAAUUUUAAUUGCUAUGCAAAAUAUGAUAUUAGCAUUAGGAGACCGCACCAAAACGUACCGUAUUGAAUGUGCCUUUUCACAACCAUUGUACAAGCUUUGAAGCUUUGGCACAAAUGCUUUUUCAAACCCAUGAACAUGAUGCACCCGAGAGAUGCAAGAUAUGAAAUUGUUACAACAGCAGGCAUUGAAACAUUUGUUAAGAAAGGAAGUUUAUGAAAAUACGCCUUAACAUUCAUUAGAUACAUGUCUUCAGGAAUCAAUUCAUCUGUAAUAACAAUUUUCAAAGAGCAUUAACUGCUUUAAGCCCCUCAACAUCACAGAGAUCUUCAAUUAAAAUAGCGCAGAUCCGGCCAUCACUAUUACUUCUACUGCUCUUUCGCUUUAGAGAACGCUUGAAUUACAGAAUGCAUGUAAGGCUUUCUUGUUUAAGGUCCAGCAAACCUUGCACAAUAACAACAGAGGCAGUGGUUCCAUUGCCAGCCUAAUCCUUGGUCUCACCAAUGUUCUGCACGAGUAGGAAAUCAACCUUAAAAUUAAGAAUGAGUUGCAAAAACUGUUUAUGGCCCUAAAGAACUUGAAAAUCGGAAAUGAUUAAGAAUGAGUGAGUAAACAUUUUAAUCGAAUAAACAUACAAAACUUGAAAACCUAACAUUGAAGUACUCUGAAUGAAUGUGCAAUUGCACGAGCUGGUGACAACUGACUUUACUGCAAAGGCUCUUUCAAACCCUUGGAGAUGAUAAAAAUAAAAAUGCAAUGCUUGAGCUUGAGCUUGAGCUUGUUUUAACAUCAUCAUAGUAGGGAAUUUUGAUAUAUCUUUACUUCUCUGUGGUUCAAUCAUUUACUUCUCUGUUCUUGUUUAUUCACAACAAGAUAUCAAUAGAAGAAGAUGGAAAUGAAAUUCUAUAAAAUAAAGCAAGUGAAUUACCAGCAGAACAUUUUAGCAAUCCUUUGGCUAAACUUUUCAUUUUCUUAGCAUACUCUCCUGCCUGCAUCAUUAAAACCAAAUUAGAUUGGACCUGUGAAUUGCUAGUGUGGUUCUGACAUUUCCUCGAAUCCCUGGUGAACAUAAUUAAACGCGUAUGAAAUAAAACAAAGUGGGCUAAUGUACUACUAAAAACAAUUACACAAUUACUUUAAAGAAUUAAUGUCACAUAAAUUAUAUAUAAAAAAAUAAGAUUAUCAUUAUACAAGAUAAAAUUGAUAAUUUAUUUUUCAACAUUACUGCAAAUGUAUUACAGAGAUUUUGUCUCUCAGGAAGUUACACAUAACAAAUUUUCGUACAUUAAAAAAUAAAUUACAUUGGGAUUUUCUAUGAUGUUGUAUGCAAUUUUACAAAAGAGCACAUAUUUUUUAAAAGUAAAUAAAUAUAGAAAUUUAAACAGACUACACUUGUAUUUUUUUAUUAUUUAAUCUUUAGAAAACAAGUUUAACAGAAUUGAUAACUAGGAAGUUUUACAUAUUAUUUCAUUGCAAGCAACAACGAAGUAAAUCAGAGGAGGAGGAGAAAUUACCGGCGAGUGAUAUCUUACGGCUACCACGUGAUGUGGGGAAUGUGAGAUAUCUUCUCCUUUCCCCUCUCUAUGACGGUUUUCCAAAAGGGGACAUCCCCAAAUUGUCAAUUUCUGCAGCGUCGUCGUUCGAAGGAGGUAAUCCGGCAGCACCUUUAAUUUGGGGCAAUCCCCAAUUAGCAGGGAAGAAAGACGUGGUAUGUCUGUUGUCCUGCGAUCUUCUAGAAUGGGCAGUUCUUCCAAAUUUUUACAAGAAUAAAUACUCAGUUCCUGCAGCGUCGUCGUCCGAAGAAGGUAAUCCGGCAGCACCUUUAAUUUGGGGCAAUGCUCAAUUUCCAAGGAAGAAAGACGUGGCAUGAUGGAGAUGUUUUCCUUCCUCGUAAUCCUGUAAUUCCACUCUUCCAAUUCAUCCAAGAACCAAAUUUUGAGAGAUUUCAAUUUGGGGAAGGCAAUAACUGAUGAUGACGAUGAAGAUGAAGAUGAGUCGUCCUCACCGCUUUCUUUUAUUCCCAAAAACUCAUUACCCACUCUUUUUACACUUUUCAAAUUGCAUAGGAUGAGUUUUUCCGGAGGCAAUUUUCCCAAAGGAGGCAAAUGCUCACAGUUAAAACACAAGGAAAGAUAUAAAUUCCUUAGAUUGGUUAGUAAAGUCAACCAUUUGGGAAAAAUGACGCCUCCAUAGGAUUCAAUCCCUAAUUCCUCUACAUUCAAAGGCGGUUGUAAGGCUUCAAGAAGUUGUUUAUCUUUCUCGUUCUUCCUCCUCCCUUCUUCGCCUUCCCCAUCUACGACUCCACCAAACACAAGACGCAAACGAAGGAGGUUUUUCUUAUUGUAAAGUUGUAACCUCUCAACCUCAUCUACAUGCGAUACAUUACUCAGCCCUUCUAUACUACAUUUACCACGGAGUUGAAGAUUUUUCAGAGAUUCAAGCCUACAUGUGCUGCCGCCAUCAACACCUCCACCCACAACAAACUUUUCUAAUGUUCGAAGGCUGGUCAAUCUGGAAAUCCCUAUUGGAAACUCCUCAUGUUCUUUAACUUCCCAAUCCCGGCUGGCAAUUCUCUAAGAUAUUUGCACCGCCUAAUAUCUAGCUUUUGUAAAUUAUAUAAUUCACACAAAGUCUCAGGUAGUCUCGCUAUAUAUAAUUUAGACAACUUAAGAUAUUAAGAUAUUUUAAAUGUAUCAAUUUUCCAACAUUAUUUGGAAUUUCUGUAAUCCAAUUUGUGCCUUCAUACAAAAGCUUGAUCGAUUGCCUUAUAACUAAUGCCCUUAAACAUGCCAAUUUAUUAAAUAACUCCCGAAGGAUGCUAUUAUUAAGAGACGGAUUGAAAAAACCUUCAUCAUAAAUUAAUAGGGUACGCAAUCUAUUAAGUCCAUAAAUGGUCAUAGGAAAUGAAGCUCCUCCUCCAAAAUUUAACCGUAAGUGACGGACUUUGUCACCAAAAAAUUUUAUGACUGAUUCCUUGGUACCAUUAAUUUCUAGCCACAAACAUUCUUUGCUACUUACAAAUUGGGCAAAAUCAUGUACUAUGUCAUGCAUCUUACAACUCGUGAAAUCAUCAUCGUCCUCAUAUAUUUUAAACUCUUGAAAGAAAGAGUGUGUUGCUAAGAUGUUGAAAUACUCUUCUCCAAUCAUCUCCAUUUCUUCGUCUUCUUCUGCAUUAAGGUAACCUUGAGCCAUCCACAGAUCAAUCAACUCCUCUUUAUCCAUCACGUAGUCUUUUGGAAAGACAGCACAAUAUGAGAAACACCGUUUUACCAUAGAAUUGGAGGGCAAAUCGUUAUAACUCAACAACAAAGGAGCCAAAAGACCUUGCCCAAUCUCUUCUACUUUCCACAUUUCACUCUCUAAAAUUCUUUGCCACUCUUUUACUGUACUUUUAGAGCGCAAGAGAUUCCCUAUUACCUUUGCAGCAAGAGGCAGGCCUUUGCACUUACAUGCAAUUUUUCGCCCGAUUGGUUCUAAUUUUUCACAAUCCUCAAAAGAACGACCGAAAAAUGCUAACUGCUUGAACAAUGACCAGCAUUCCUCUUCAACCAAUUGCUUGAUGGAGAUAAUAUUUGUUGAUCCCAUCAUACGUGCAACUAACUCAUUACGUGUGGUAACCAAAAUUUUACUUCCGUGGAGACCAUUUUUUAGACAACGGAAGAAUGGUUGCCAUUUAUUGUAAUCCCCAUCCCAUACAUCAUCUAAGACAAGAAAAUUUUUUUUUCCUUUAAUUGAACUCUGGAUACGGCUCAUAAGAGAUUGGAAUUCGUUUAAACCAGAAGCUGACUUCCCUAGACCUUCAAUGAUUGCUUUGGCAAUCCUAAUCUGAUCAAAAGUGUCCGAUACACACACCCAUAUAACUUUUUCAAAAUUUCUUUUCACCUCAUCAUUAUUAUAGGCUAGUUGUGCAAGAGUGGUUUUACCUAUACCCCCUAACCCAACCAGUGAAAUGACCUGAAGGCCAUUUUGUUGUUCACUACUUUCACACAACAACUUGCUUAAGAGCUCACUUUUCUCAUCAACCCUACCGCAAACCUCUCCCUCAUCAAUCAAGGACGUGGUUCGCACUCUCUCUGGUUUCUUAACAUUGUUACUCACAUUCUCAACUAAUUUGAAACUAUCUUUUUGUCUGGCAAUAUCAUCUAGCUUUUCACUGAUUUCUCUAAUCUUGACAGCAAUAUCAUGACGAAGACUGAGUUGUUUGAAACCACCAAAGCAGUUUGAGGCAGCAGGAAAGAAGAAACAUACCUUCGUCAAAAAAGUAACAAAAGCACCGUCGUUAUCAUCAUAAUCAUCAUCGCCUCCCUCAUCAAGCUGCAAUUUCCGUGUUUCAGUGAUCCACUCUUCCAACACAUCUUCCAUGUCGUAGGAUGCGUCUCUGAGCUGAUCCAGCCAAAAAGUAACAGCUUUGUCCUGCUUCAUUUGCCUCUGCUCUGCAUCUUCCAGCACAGCUUGAAUGGCUUGAAGAUUGGUGGUAAGCUUUCCCACUUCUUGUUCGACACCCGUCACAAGCCUCCACUUUUCUUUCACCUGAUCUUGAGCAAUGGAUUUCAGCUGGUCCAGGAGAGGGGAAACGAUCGCAUGAGCCAUUCUGAUAUUAGAUCAAAUGGUAAAUGCUGCAAUUGCUUUUCUUUCUAAACUGCUCAGAGGAAAGUAGCUUUUAUGUAUUCUGUGAGAAUGCUCAUUCAACCAUGUUUGCAUUCUUCUUAUACUAAUAGGAGAUUUAAUUUUUACCCUCAAGUCAAUGUCAAUGUGAACGUUCUUUUGUGCUGCAAAUUGAAGGAGUCCCCACAGGAGUCACCGUCGUGGUUACUUGCUGCUCUUAAGAUAAUUAGUAACAAAAUAUUUGUAAACUGCAACAAAAAGCUCAGUGCAAUCUAUCUAUGAAUCUUGUGAGUUCACAUAUAAUACAGUCGAUUUAGAAUAGUCAUAAAUUUUUUUUAUUAUAAAUAUUAGUAUAUUUUUAAUGGUAUAAUAUAUAUCGAUGAAACUAUAUAGAGUAAUUUCGCCUAAUUGUAUAAAUUCAUUACGAAUAUCAUCACAAAUUUGUAUUUGGUCGGGACCGUGCGAGUGAAAUUUUUGAUAAAAUCGUCUCCUGACAAUUUAUUUAUUAUAUUCCAUUCCUUUUAUUAUCAGGUAGGCCAAAGCCAUUUGGACAUUUGAAAAAGUAUGUGAUUCUGUUUUAGUCUAUUAUGUCACGACAAAAAGAGAAUUGGAAAAUGUAACAUUCUCAAAUUAAUUUGUAGUGGAAAAGAGAAAAAUAAGACAAAAGUUGGAAAAAUCAUGCAGCCGACCCUUUUUUUUAUCUGAUUGCGCAAUAUUAGGUAGGCGAAUGCGACUUCAUCGAUAUCACACAGCAGUGGUUCUGUCAUUAAUUUUUUUCUUUUAUUUAAUUAAGAAAAGGAAGAAAAGAUAGCACAUGUUAUGAUUAUUGUGAAUUUUCCAUCCCUUAUAUAAAUUCUCAAAUUUAUUUAAAUUGUGAGUCAUAGAAGUAUAUUACCUAAACUAUUUUAUCAGGCCAUGUUCGGAUACUAGGAUUAAGUAUGGAAUUGGACUAAUUUUGUGAUUAUAUUUUAUAUCAAAUUUGGUAAGCUUAAUUGAAUUGGACUAAGGGACUAAAUUUAAGUUUAAUCCUAAAAUUAUGGGAUUAAUAAUCCUAAUUUACACAUUCCUUUAGUUGGGACUUGGGAUAAGAUUAAAGAAAAAAAGUUAUCCAUUUAUGAGACUUUAAUUUAUGUCAUUAUUUUUUAUUUAUACUUAAUAUUAAUUAAUUUAUUAAUUUAUUUUUAAUUUAUGAUUUACUUAAAAUUUAUUUUUAUUUAUUAUCUAUUAUCUGGUUAAAUUAGAACUUUACUUCUACUAACUCUUGCGAUUAAUUUUUCAUUACUUGCGUAUUUGAUAAUUUGCCAAUAAAAUUAACCAUUUAAUAAUUUCUUGCAUUAUUGAUUGUAUUAAAUUUAAUAAUCACUAAUAUAAUAUUAAAAAUAAUCAUGAAAAUUAAUAAUACCUUCAAUUAAUUGAUUUUAUAUACUUUUUUUAAAUAUUUGAUAAGAAGUUGAUAAAAAUUAAUUAAGGAUUUAAAAUUUUAUUCAUUUUUUAUUUAUUUAUUUUAUCAUGAAUACCCAGUAUCUUACAAUAUAAUUAAUUUUCUUAUUCAGACUACUCAGCAUCAGCUCCUGUAAAAUUUCUUACAUUAUAAGCAACAAAAUAUUUAUAAACUACAACAAAAGGCUUAGAUCAAUCCACCGAUGAACCUUUUGAAGUUAUAUAUAAUAUAUUAAUUGUUGAUCUAGAAUAGUCUUAGUGGAUAGAUUUUUUUAAUUAUAAAUAUUAAUAAAUUUUUUAUCGUUUAAUAGAUAUUGAUGAAAUUAUAUGGAGUAAUUUCGCCUAAUCAUAUUAAUUCAUUAUGAAUUUCAGCACAAAUUUGUAUGUGAUCGAUCUGGACCGUGUAAGUGAAAUUUAUUUACUAUAUUUUUCAACUUGGCCGACAACAUCUUUUUGUCAGGUAGGCAAAAGCAAAAGCCAUUAUCUCAUUAAUUGAUUUGGUCAUUUGAGAAUGUAACUCUAUUAUGCCGUGACAAACUCCAAGAUCUAAUUUAGAGAGCGACCCAAAUAAUGGUAAUUAGUAAUUUAUUACAUCUGCAGUUAGAUAGAUACUUUGUCUGGGAAAAAAAUAAAAUCAGUUUUAUAAUGAUUUUAAUUAAUUCAUUUGGUCAUUUGAAAAAGUUGUGGCUCUGUUUUAGUCCAGUGUCAAUAUAUAACUUUAUUAUGUCAUGACAAACUUUAAAAUUUAAUUUAGAGUGUGACUCGAAUAAUUUUAAUUAGUAAUUUAUUAUAUCUACAGUCGGAUACUUUGUUGAGAAAAAAAAAAAUAAAAUCUGUCCCAUAAUGAUUUUAAUAAAUAUCAUACUAUUGUCUACGGACUUACCUCAUAUUACAAAGAAUUAAAAUAUGCGAAAGAUAACUAAGGAAUAAAAUUUUUCCACAAUGAUUUAUAAAAUUGCUUUUGAAGAACGGUUAUGAUAUUAUAUUAAAUUACUAAGAAUUUAGUUAACCUCUCAAGAAGUCUAUUUGGUUGACUUCUCGAGUUUAAAAUUCGAAUGUCAAAAAAGAUAAAAGGUUAAAAAAAUAUUUUAAAUAUUAUCCACCCUUUUACUAUUUUAAUAUACAAAAAGAAGAAUUACUUGUUUUUAACAAUAGCAACCGGGGGCAUAAUAUAUCUGAUGGAUUUUUUUAAGGAACAAAACUUAUUAUAUCUCCUAUCAAAAAUGUCAUUUUUGUUAGUAAAAGGAUAUCUAUAUCUCCAAAUUUUGGAAAAAUGGUUACCAGCGCUUCCAAGUCCUAAAUUUUCAAAAAGAGACACUAAAACUCAUUUUUUACUACAAUACCCUUUACUUUUAUUAUCCCAAAAGUUAACUUUAAUUUUUUUUAUAAUAAAUAGAAAUAUAAUAUUAAAAUAAAUGUAUUAAAAUUUAAAUUAUUAUGAAAAAUAAUAAUUUUAAUAUUAUUAGUAUAUGAGACUUUUUUAAUUGUAAAAUGUAUUUAAUGCAAAUAUUUAUUUAAAAUCUCUAGAAUAAAUACAAAUAUAUUAUUAAAAUAAAUAUAAUAAUUUACAUAUUUAAAUUUAUUUUAAUAUUAUUAAUCUACUACAUAGAUUACAUUAUUUAUAUAAUAUUUGUGUUUACUAAAAAUUUGCAAGUUAAAUUUUUCGGGAUACUAAAGGUAAAGAGUAUUAUGGUCAAAAGAGAGUCUUGAUGUCAUUUUUAGAAAACUUGGGGUGUUGGUGACUAUUUCUCCAAACCAUGGGGAUAUAGAUAUCCUUUUCUCUUUUUUAUUUUAAACAAGUGGUGACUAAAGAUUAAACUGUCAUAUAUUCACAAGAUAUUCACCACAAAAUUUGUAGGAAAUUUCUUCUUCCCUAAGCGGAAAAUACAAAACAAAAACAUAAUUGGCAAUUUCACUAGCAAAACUAAUAAUACUUUUGUUCCAUAUCCAGGGGUAGAGCUCGGGGUAAAUCUUCAUGACGCCCAAAUUCAAAUUUCAAGUGUUAGCUGGGAAUUAAUUUUAGACAAUUUUAUUUAUUUAUUUAUAGCUAGUAUGUAAUUGUUAGGUAUUUCAAAAUUUGAGAAUUUUGUGAUUCUGUGAGAAUGUUGAUUCAAGCAUGUUUGCAUUCUUCUUAUAAGUACCAUAGGAGAUAUUUAGUUUUUACCCUCAAGUCAAUGUCAAUGUGAACGUUGUUUUGUGCUGCAAAUUAAAGGAGUCCCCACAGGAGUCACCGAUUUGCUUUGAGAAUUUUGAGAAUUAUGUUUUGCGAGUGAAAUUGCCAUUUUGUCAUAAUGGAAUUUUGCUUUCUGAUCAAUAAUUGAGAAUUUUGCUUGUAGCUACAGGCUGCAGCGAUUUUGAUUUGACGGCUUUGAUUCAUAAUUGAAGUUACUGUUGCAAGUAAAAACUAAAAAAAUUAACAAAAUAAAAAUCAAAGACUUAGGUCCAUGUUGCAAGUAAAAACUAAAAAAAUUAACAAAAUAAAAAUCAAAGACUUAGGUCCAUGUUUUAUCAAAAUUUUAAUAAAAGGCUAUUUGUCAUUUUGUCAUAAUGGAAAAAUGAUUAACAAAAUAAAAAAAUCGAAUUUACUUGAUUUUAUUUUACAAAAUAUAAAUUAAAUUUCUAUUAUAUGUAUAAAGUUUAUACAUCAAGUGCUUAGGGGUCAAAUCAAUCUUUUUAUACCUAAUUUUUAAUAUUUUACUUCGAAACCUCAAAAAUUUUUAAAGUUUGUUGGGUCACAAUCCCCGCUAGGAGUGGGCAAAUUUGUGUUCAUAUCAACUUGAAUAGGUUUUGGGUUGAUUAGGCUAGAACUGGAUCAGAUCAAAAAGUAUGAGAGAAAUUAAUUGAGCUUCUCCCAAGAAAAAUACAUACAGAUGAUUGAUAUAUAACCAUUAAAUAAUAAAUAUGUUAGACUUACAUUUAUUUUUUAGCCCUAAAAGUAUGAAAAAAUUAAUACUUUCCGAAUUUAUUUUUUGUACCGUAAAGAAUCAAAUUACUCACAAAAUUAUUUUUAACUUUCAUCAUGCAAACAAACAAAUCAUCAUCAAUUUCAAUAGAAAGAAGUAGAAUAUGAUGUAUUUAGGACUUCCUACUCUAUUAGCUAGGUUAAUAACAUGUUAAUUGUCACAUCAUUAAUUUUAGAUUAUAAAUUUUAUAUUCAAACUUUGUAUGACUGCUCCUUUUUCAAUGAUCUAAUGUUAGAGUGCAAUUUAUGCACUAGUUUUGCAUUGUUUACUUCCUUUAAUAUUGAUAUUUUACACUUAAUAAUAGUGAUUUACUUGUAUUUUAUUUUUGUAGGUGCAAUUCUAUUGAUUGGUGCUAAAAUUGAGAUACAAGAUGAUGUUUAAGGAUGGUUGUUCUCUUGGAUAAAUUAUGAGUGUCAGAAGAACUUUGUUGAUAAGGCGUGGGCGCGUGCUGUCAACUACGGACCUGCAGUUUUUAGUUUAAUGUGUUUUGUAUUUUUGGUUAUUUUUGUAAUUAUGAAUUUAAUGUUUCAGAUAUUAGUAUUUUAUUUUAAAUAGAACUCUAGAGGAGAAGAGAGGGAGAGUAUUUAAGGGAGGAAUCUAUUGUGAAAAAUGUGAGAGAUUGGAGAAAAAGAAAGAAACCCUAGAUCUAAACUUUUCUCUUCUCUCUAUGAAGAACUAAACCUAUUUUUCUAGUUGAAGGUUAAUGAAGCUUUGAUUCAUCACUACUGUGAGAUCUUUCUUAUGCUUUAAUUGUUUUAUUGCUUUUUGGGUAUUUGUUUAUUUUUUGAAUUAUUUUCAUGAUUAUGUUUGUUAAUUAGGUAAUUGGACACUAUUUAAUUAUCAACUUAAUCUAUUGUCAAUUCAAUGAUUCAUCGUAUGAAGAUUUUAAUGUUUGUGACAAAUAACAUAGCAGUGAGUUGUAUUAUGAGAAUAAACAAUCUAAUUUAAAUGAACCAUCGUAUGUGUUUGUUGAUUAGGAUUUGGGUCUCUCUGGUUUUUCAGGCUGUCAAUUGAUAUAAUCUUAUGAUUGUAUUUAGGGUUGUCUAUUGAUUAGGGAAAUAACCAACGGUCGUACCUUGGUUAUCGACUAGUUAAGGAGAGAUUGGCUAUUAGAGGGUCUCAGUAGCUAUAACCGGUGUAUUCAUAAGUAGUAAUAAUUUAUAUUUGAAUCAAUGAUUAGUAGUCGAAUCAAGCUCAGUUAAUUCCUUCAACCAAAGCUUUCUCCAAUUUGAAUUACAACUUUAAUUUGCAUUCUAGUUAUUUUAAUUUGAUUUCUAUUAUUGUCAACAACUCCCCCAUUUUACGUUUUACAUUUUAAAAGGAUUUAAAUAAUUACCGAUCUCUGUGAACACGACCCUGCUCAAUCAUUAUACAUAAUUUAUUUAGAGUAUGUAUUUAUUUUUGCUGUCUUCGACAAUCAUCAAAUUUUGGCGCCGUUGCCGGGGAUUGGUGUCGUUUAUUUAAUCCUUUUUACAUUUUACUUGGUGUAUGGUUCAUUCUUCUCGUACAGGUACACUUUCGUUUGAUCCUGAAAUUGAGAAGACAGCUCGCCAGCUGAGACAGCAGACGAAGCAAGCUAAGCAACGAUUCUCGUCGCCUUUGCUUUUUGAAACAGAUACAGUGUCUGAUUUGAUUGAAUCAUCUAGCGAUUCAGAAGAACAAGUGAUGGAUAGAGCUGCACCUGUAGAAAGAACUCUUAAAGAGUUAGCUGAACCAGACUUGAAUCAGCAACCACUCUGCAUUCAAUAUGUAGACUUGGAGGUAAAUUUUGAAUUAAAGUCUGGUCUUAUUAAUUUAUUACUCAAGUUUCAUGGUUUUGCAGGUGAAGAUCAUCAUAAACAUCUCAAGGAGUUUCAUGUUGUGUGCUCAAGUAUGAGGCCACAAGGCGUGACUGAAGAGCAGAUUAAGCUGUGUGCUUUUCCGUUCUCUGCAGAUGGGCUAGCUAAAGACUCGUUGUACUACUUGCCUCCUGGAUUGAGUACAACGUGGAAUGGUUUGAAGAAGCAGUUCCUUGAGAAGUACUUUCCUGCUUCAAGAGCUGCCAACAUCAGAAAAGAUAUUUGUGGGAUCAGACAACUUCCUGGGGAGAUUUUGUAUGAGUAUUGGGAGUGAUUCAAACAAUUGUGUGCCAGCUGUCCUCAGCAUCAGAUUUCUGAUCAACUUCUUAUUCAAUAUUUUUACGAAGGACUGUCAUUGAUGGAUAGGAGUAUGAUAGAUGCUGCUAGUGGAGGCGUGUUGGUGAACAAGACCCCUACUCAAGUAAGGGAGUUGAUCUCAAAUAUGGCUGCCAAUGCACAACAAUUUAGCAGCAGGCAAGAUCCCACUUCAAAGAAGGUGAAUGAGGUAAAUAUUUCUUCUGUUGAACAACGUUCAGAUAAACUUACUUCUCUUGUGGAAAAGUUUGUUUUAGGUAAUGUACAAUAGGUGAAGACUUGUGGCAUCUGUUACAAUAUGGGUCAUUCAACUGAUAUAUGUCCUACGCUUCAAGAAGAACCCGUUGAACAAGCCAAUGUAGUUGGAGGAUUUCCAGGCAAGCCUCAGAAGAGGUAUGAUCCUUAUGCACAAACAUACAAUUCAGGGUGGAAGGAUCAUCCCAACUUCAACUAUGGAGUUAGGCCGUCAGGAUUCCCACAACAGUAUCCACCAAGACAACCAGCACCUCCACAGUCAAACUCCAAGUCAGGUAUAUCUCUUGAAGAAAUUGUUAAAUCACUUGCAACUAACACUCAACAAUUUCAGCAGGCAACUACAGCAAGCAUUCAGAAUUUGGAGAACCAAAUGAGUCAAUUGGCCACUACAAUGAGCCGUCUGGAGUUUCAAGUAUUAGGGAGAUUGCCUUCACAAUCUGAGGUAAAUUUAAAGCAAAACGUUAGUACUGUCAUCCUUAGAAGUGGGAAGGAGUUACAAGAGCCUAGUAAGAAAGUGACAAAGCAUGUAGAAGAUGAGCUUGAGAAGAAUGAAUUGAUGCCUAAAUCUCAAGAUGCGCAACCCACCAAAGCGAAACCCCUACCUAUUGUGAUACCUCCUCAUUUUCUAAGCCGGUUUGUAAAAUCCAAGAAGGAGGAACAAGAGAAAGACAUCCUUGAGACAUUUCGCAAGGUUGAGGUAAAUAUUCCUUUAUUAGAUGCUAUAAAACAAAUACCUCGAUAUGCUAAAGUUCUUAAGGAACUGUGCACCUCCAAGAGAAAAUUAAGAGGAGAUGAAAAAGUUCACAUGGGGGAGAAUGUUUCAGCAGUUCUCCAAAAGAAAGUACCUCCUAAGUGCAUGGAUCCAGGUAUGUUUACUAUCCCUUGUAAAAUUGGUAGUGUUAGAGUUGAAAAUGCUAUGUUAGAUCUAGGAGCUUCUAUUAAUGUCAUGCCUCGUUCCAUUUAUUCAUCUUUGAAUGUUGGUCCAUUGAAAAAAACUGGCAUGAUAAUUCAACUAGCUGAUAGGUCUAAUGCAUAUCCUGAUGGGGUAUUAGAAGAUGUCUUAGUACAAGUUCAUGAGUUGGUUUUUCCUGUUGAUUUUUAUGUACUUGAUAUGGAAGAGGAUAACUCCUCUAAUUCUUUCCCAAUUUUGCUAGGAAGACCUUUUCUUAACACUACUAGGACUAAAAUGGAUGUACAUAAAGAGACUCUCACUAUGGAGUUUGAUGGAGAGGUUAUAGAAUUCAAUAUGAAUGAUGCCAUGAAAUAUCCUAAUGAGAAACAUUCGGCAUUUUUUGUGGAUGUUAUUAACCCUAUAAUGCAGGAAGUUUUUUACAAGGAAAAGACGAAGAAAUUUCAUGAUAGAAUGAUUUUGAGAAAGGAGCUCUCUGUUGGUCAAAAAGUUCUUUUUUAUUCUAAGCUUAAACUUUUUCCGGGUAAAUUACGUUCUUGCUGGGUUGGACCUUUUAUUAUUACUAAUGUUUUUCUUCAUAGUGCAGUUGAGAUUCGGAGUCCGACCUCUGACAAAGUUUUUAAGGUUAAUGGUCAUUGGUUAAAACCUUUUUAUAAAGGUUUUUCGGUGAAUAUUGUGGAGGAUAUGGCUCUCAAGAGUCCCAAUUAUGGAGAUUGAUGCAUAAAUGUGUCUAACCAAAGACAUAAAACAAAGGCGCUUUUUGGGAGGCAACCCAAAUGAUUUAUUUAUUUUGGUUUUUGUUAUAUCUUCUUUUCAUUUUGAUUCAGAUUUUUUAAAAAAAAUAAUGUGUUUGCUUAUUUUGGCCAGAAGAAAAUGUUUGAUAAGGCGUGCCCACGUCUUAACUAAUAAGUACUUCUGUGAUUUUUAACGUAAAAUGGUUUUAAGGCGUGCGCACGUGCUUAUUAAAAAAGUACUUCUGAAAUUUUUAGUGUCUCAAGUGAUACAUCACUAAAAAAAAAAUUAUUUUAUUUAUUUAUUUAUUUGAAAAUUAAAAAAAUAAAAAAAGUUUUUUUUCUUUUCUUUCUUUUAUAUUUUUAUUUAUUUGAAAAAAAUUUAAAAAAUGAAAAAAUAAAAAAAAAGUUUUUUCUUUUUUUCUUUUAUAUAUUUUAUUUAUUUAUUUAUUUGAAAAAAAAUUUAAAAAAUAAAAAAAUUUUACUGUUCACAAAAUCCCUAAUUCACAGAAUUAGUGUUCUUCUCCAGCCGCUCCAGCCUUCACCGAGCAGCCACGCAGCACCAGCUCCAUCCCCAGCGCGCAGCAUCAUCCCCAGCCCGCGCGCAAGCAACCAGCCCCAACCCGCGCAGCACAACCAUCUGCGAAUAACCUGAACCAACAGCCGUGUACCUGCAAGCUCCAGCCGAGCAGCAACCAUCCGCAGCCGGCCUACGCCCUGCAUUCUAGCCGCGUGAAUCAAAAUCCGUGAGUUCAAUUAUUGUAACAAUGCCGAAGAGGAAAGCAUCAACUUCCAAGUCAUCUAAAAAGACACUCGUCGCAAAGAAAUCCAAGAUUUCCGCUCCCACUACGGUUCCAUGGAACACAGUUUUAGAUUCACGCCAAGCCGUGAGAUAAAGAUCGAAACAUGGAAAAGGCAUGAGUGUUUUGCCACUUGCGGAAUCCAAUCUCAGAGGGUGCCUCACAUUCACGACUCAACAAGAGAAAGAAAUGUACAAAGAUAUUUCCAAGCGAAAAAUACUUCCAGCUAAGUAUAUUCAUUACCCGACUCUUGAAAAAUUGAAUGUCAAGAAUAGUUUUGAUUCUUUGAUAGAUAAGAUUGGUUUGCGUAAGUUUGUUGAUGUUGAUUGUUUGGGUUAUGUUGAGUUGAUUAGGGAGUUCUAUGCUACUUUUCAAUUUAAUAUACUGAAUGAUUUUACUUUGCAUACCUCAGAUGUUAUAAAGUUUAGGUUAAUGGGACGAAAUUUUUCACACUCUAUCACGGAUUUUAACCUAGUUUUAGGAUUCAUUGAUGAUGAUUAUUCUUCUAGUGAUGUAUAUUUAGGGACAACUUGUGACUUUAGCGAAAAUUUUGAGCCUUAUGGUCUUUGGCGUAAUUUAUCUGUUGAUCACAAUGCCUAUGACCCAAGUAAAUCAAAGAGUUCUUUCUUACGUGAUCCUGUUUUGAAAUGUAUGCAUCGGUUCUUAGCAUAUAAUUUUUUAGGAAAGAAAGAUCACUCAAGAGUUUUCUCUAAAACUGAGUUUUGUUUUAUCUGGUGCAUAUUAAAUGAUGUGAGGCCUAACUUAGGUUUUUGGUUAGCAGAUCAAUUUCAAAGUGUGCUUAAACGGUAUAGGACUUUAUUUCUUGGUUCAUACAUUACUCUGUUAGUUAUAAACUUAUGUGUGCUUGAUCAUGACAACAAUGAUUUAUAUCCUGCUUGCAAAAAGAAAUUUUUGGAUAUGUCUGUGUUUGAAAGAACAGGUGUGGUCGAAUUCAAGGAGGGGAAAUUUCAGUUUACUGAACCAGGACCCACCCAACUUCCAAAGAAGUUUUAUACUAGGAGUGGUGCUACCUCUGAUGACGAGUUUGACGACGAAACUGCGGCCCCACCAACUAUUCCUUUUACAUCCGCACAACCUUUGAGCAUUCAGUUAGAGAAAAUGGAGCACAAGCUGAACAAGAUGGAGCAGAAUUUGGCCUCAUACUUCGAGAGUGUGGGAUUUAUCCCACCAUUUCCACUAAGCCCAUAGACGUUAUGAGGAUCAAAGCUCACAAUUCAGGAAAGUUUUCGCCUUUAAUCUUUUAUCCUUACGCUUUAAUUUUUAUGUGAGCUUUGAUUAUCUUACAUUGGGGACAAUGUAAGUGUCUGUCAAUGACAAAUUUAACCCACUACCACCAUUCAUAAUUAACCAAAAUCAAAUAAAUUAAAAAAGAAAACACAAAACAAGGAUAACUACUAGUUGUUUUGAUCAUCCUUGCUUCUUUUUCUUAGCAUAGCUCUUGUAAUGAAAAUUAACAAAAAGGGCCAAAAGGGAAGCAUUAAACACAGUAUUGAAGCACCAACCCCAAAACCCAGGGAAACCAAAUCCCGUGAAAUGAUAAUUCAGCAUCAAAAUGAAAAAUGUUAUGGAUGGCUGUGAUGGGUCUGAGGAUGUGGGGUCCAAUGAGAGGUGAUGAUGAUGGUGAUGUUGAUGUUGAUGUGUGGUAGAGGAUGGAUGUGAGGGAGAGGUAAGUAAUGAUGGAGUGAAUGAGGAUGUGUGGGAAGAAAGCUAGGGUUUGGUCUUGAGUCCACGUGAAGUUGAAGACUUGUGGGUGGCUUACAAGCAAUAAUGGAGUGUUAAGCUGAUUGAAUUUGAAGCCAUGGCUGGUUUUGGGGGAAGAUUGAUUUGGGAGAGAUGAUGGUCAGAGGAAUGGGGGAGUUUAGAAAGUUUGGGAUAUUGUGACGGGUGUUUUAGGCAUAUUUUUUCGUCUUAGCUUAAAUUUUUGUUAAAAAAAUGAUAAAUUCUUUUCUCAUAUCAAUUUAAAACUCCGAGUAUGUUUCCAAUUCUUCUUCUAUAGUGUCUAGACCUUUGUUUCAACGGCAUCUUUGGACGCGGGUUUCUUCUUUUUUGGUUAUUUCUUCUCAAACUUGUGCAGAUUACAUGCACUCAACGUGGAACCCUUUUGAAUGGAAGUUACUGUUUUGCUGGAAUCGGGACCAAUUUUUUGACAAAAAUUUCGCUAUAAAAUAUACAAUUAAAGUCGAGUAAGAUUAAGUAAAGUAACAUCUUGUAUGGUAAAGUACAUCGAGUAAGGAUUUCUAUAAUCGAGCUAGAAAGUAUAAUUAAAAUUAGAUAAGAGUGCCGCGGAGCAUUGUUUUAAAGUUACAGUAUCAAAGUAUUUAAUAAAUAUUUAUUAUUGUGACUUAAAAAUUAAGUUGGGAGUACAAAAAAAUCAAUAAUACAUUUAUUAAUUUUGUCAAAAUUAUUAUUUAAAAAUCAUAUAUACAAUACAAGAUCAACAAUUAUAUUAUAGCUUCAGUUCCUUUUUCACAAUAACUAUAACUACAACACGGUAGUACUAAAUAGGAAGUCGAGUAUGAUCAAGUAAUUACAUGUUAUGGUUUUUUGGUAUUACAUGAUUCUUCAAACUGAAAUUUGCGAUCAAAAUUGUAUCAAAGAAAUCACAGAGACACUCUGUUUGACAAAUCUGCAGUAGAAUUUGCACAAUUUAACUGGAUUGCAGAGAGUGAAUAAGAUUCCAAAGCAACAGGCAAUUAUUGUUAUUAAGAAAACAAUUCAUCGCUAGAACAAAAUUAACUUUUCUAACAUACUAGAAUUUAACUGGAGAAAAAUUGGAAUAUACGACGUUGUAUCACAUAUAGUAUUUAGACAUCAAGAAAAGAAUCCCUCUAUUAGUGAACUAUACUUGCCAGGAAACACGGUGAAAUACCACUACCUCCCUACUAGAUUAAUGCAGCAAAAUUGGGCAAUUGACUUGAUUAACUCCAAGAAAUUUACGCAGUCACAUUCUUCCGGACUAUCCUCUUUCUUCGCACUUUAGGAGCUGUUGUUUCCCCUUACAGAGUCGACAUUCCCUUGUUUGAUGCCAAGGAGCCCAAGCCCAGAGCCAAUGGCAUUCUUUGGUAUCAACCACUUUGGGAACUUUUGAGUUGAGCCAUUGACAUCCUGAGACGGCCUGUUGUGAGCCUUCUUCAAAAGGUCAUCUGACUGAAGUAGCGGAUCCGCUUCCACUCCUAGCCAAGCAAGCCUUGAUCUUUCUCCUAAUUGGACAUUAAGAACCCUGCAUGGAAUCCAUUUGAGAAGUUGAACAAUAGACAAAGUCCAACACAUAUAGGCAGUAAAGAAGAAUUUGGACAGCAAUUACUGACUGUUUAUGCACAGGGCUGAACAAAUGGGAAUAUUAAGGCACUUAAAAGUUGGAACCAUAUUCACCACUUGUAUUUCCUCAGAGAACUAUCUCAGAGUUCUGUUAAUUUAAAACCAUUCUAACGUAUUUAACUACAAAACUAGAGAAAUCGUACUUCUGUAGCGGAGUCUCACUAUUGUUAAGGAUCUAGACUUGGAAAGUAUGCAAGUUGAUUAGGUAAAGAAAAAUUGAAAUAAUACUUGGUGAUAGAUCAACACACUUCAAUAGAAACCACACUAACAUCAUAUCAGACAAAUAAACAGAUUCCCCGAGUCAAAGUUUAACAAACAAAACAUUAAAACAAGGAUAAUUUGGUACGACCAGAAUAGUCUAUCAAUGUAUAUAGAGAGGGAGAGACCUCAAAGCAGCGCUUAAGAACAGUGCUACUCCAAUAACAUCAAUAUGGUUGAUGACCGCUCUAUCAAAUCCAUUGGAAAUCGUAUACUUAUAAUUUUUUUUUUCAAACUUUGUCUAAAAUAAAUGAAUGAGAUAAGAUAAAUUCGAAUAAAUUAAUCUGCAUAAUGACACAAGAAACAAAUGUAAAUUGACCACAAGUAGAAAUAUACUUUUGUUAUCUUCCAAUUUCUUUCCCUUGAGCUCUGUUUCUGCGAGUGCUCAAAAGCAAGACACGGGCCUUGUUAAGAGUAUAGCUGAAGCUGGUGACGUGUAUAAGCUGCUGAUGAAGCUGCUGAGCUGGCUGGCUAGUGAUGUGUAUAAAUUGAAGGUGCUGAGCUGGAUUGGGUUGUUGUUUACACCAACUAAAGCUGUAACAGAUUAUCCAGCUGGCUUGUUAUGAUUGGAAAUUAGAUUAGUUUGUUAAUACAGCAAACGAUUAGCUCUGUUUUAGUAGUUAGCCUUGAAUGUAACUAUAAAUACUGGCUAACACGUUUUCAGUGUUAAGCUUGAGUUUUAAUCAAUAAAAAUCAAUUCAGUUAAAGUUUCUUUGUUAAUUUUCUUUCACUUUCUCACUUGCCAAACAACCUAUUAAUUCUAAAAGGCCUCAAGAUAUAAUUAUCAUCAUCAAUCUUUUGCAGCCACAUGCAGUACUUGGAAAAUGUUUAUGGCCCUAAAUAACUGGAAAAUCAGAAAACAUUAAGAACAAGAGACUAAUCAUUUUAAUCGCAACAAAACAUGCACACUAUGAAAAUAUAAAAUUGAAUUACUUCGAAUGGAUGUGCCUCUUAACAGGAAUUGCACAAGCUAAUGAGCAAGUGAGCCUUGAACAGUUAUCACUCAACUCAAACUAAAAUGAAAUUACUGUGGACAUGUGAAUUAAAAAUAGAUGUAAAAGUAGUUUUCUCAAAGCAAAGUCAAGAUAAGAGAUUAACUCUGCUCCGUAAUUACAUUAAAAAUAACAAACAAUGAAAAACAGAGCUAGAGAAGAACUUACCUGUGCGUUGAGACCAUGUGGGGAAUGUGAGAUAUCUUCUUAGAUUUGGUUUGAGAAACCCUGCCAAUUAAAAUUUCGGUCCCCAUGUAGCAGAAUUUCUUAUUUUUCCUUUGUACACAAAUGCAGACACUUAAGCAAAUUAAGAUUUCUUAUCUAAAGCAAAUUAGGAUUUCUUUUGACCCUGCAAAUUACAAUUUCAGUCCCCAUGUAAUAGGAAAAUUUUGUACACAUAUUUAUAGCAAAUUAAUAUUUCAUACCUCACAAUAUUUAUCAGAACCAUCAAUCUUUAGAAACCACAUGCAGACUUGGUAAACUGUUUAUGGCCCAAAAUAACAGGAAAAUUAGAACAGAUUUUUAAGAAUGAGCGACUAAAUAUUUCAAUGGCAACUAAAAUUACACAUCUUGGAAAUCUGAAACUCAAGUACUCAGAACACUGUUAGUGCAUUGCAUAAGUCAAUUGCAUAAUCUUGGGUAAAAAUUACGCAGCAAUUAAACAAGCUGGGAACUUUAGUGCAAAUGCUUUUUCAUAAUCUUCAAUUGCAUAAGUCAGUUAGAAUCAAUCUUUCUUAAUCUUUCAAUUCACAUAUGAGAGCCUGAUAACACAAGGAAACACUGUAAGUGAAUUGUCAACUGUGACAAAUUUUGGGUAAAAAUUAUCAACUGUAGUUAUCUGCAUAACAUUUAGUGUCAACCCCAAAUUCCUUACUGAUCCGUGGAAGCAUUUCAGCCCACAGACGGUUAGCUUUGUCAAUAUACGGCAACUCAGGAUUCUAUAUUUAAACUAUGAUGUUUGAUGACUUGCUGAUACAAAAGACAUUGCCCCAAGCACUUUUUUACAUUAGCUAAAAUCAAGCCAAUCACUUCCAUUUGUUGCAGUUUUAAUGCAGAAAGAAAAAGGUGGGGAAAAAAUCUGCAAGAUGCCACUUGUAAUACCGCAUGUUCGCAGAAGCAGAGUUAAAUAAUUACAAAAUUACAUUCUUUAUGAAAGCUUGCGAUUAUUGGGAGAGCUCUACUCAAAUUUAAUGAGAUAUCUCUCAGAAGGGAGAGCUCUAAUAAUAUAUAAAGCCAAAAAUCUGACACUCAUCAAAUUGGCUUGUGAACAAUUAAUCUUCCUUGCCAUCAUAAAUGCCAGGUGUGGUGAACAAUCUUCAUUCUGACAUUUGCCUUAAUAAGCUGCUUAGUAUCCUUAACCUGAUAACUUACACAAACAAAAACAACUUCACUAAAGUUUAUUCUUUAAAGGCAAAACAGUAAACCAGAUGAUGUAUGCUGAUACAAAAAAUUGACCUGAGUUAUCCUGAUGUCAAGAAUCACAGAACCUCACGUGGGCAAAAUCAUCGCAAUACAAGAUGCUGAAUUCAAGCAACAUCUUAUCACCUGUAAUUUAAUUAAGACAAUAACUUUCCUCAACUAUUAGCCUUCUCAAUUUCAAUGUAUUAUUGGCAACUAAAUUCAUAGGGGACGCAGCUAAUUAAAUGCCCUUUUAACAAUAUCUUCCCCACCUAACAAUUAUUUGGAAAAUCUAAAUGACAAUCAUGCAUUGAUGGCAUAAAAUAUUGGCCACAAAGCUGCCUACAAAAAGGCUUUAAAUUCUUAAUGAGACAACGUAUUCGAACAAAUAUGGUGAAUGAAGAGACAAAGCAUAACACCUCAAGAAGUAAAGCUCUGUUUCUGUAUAUGCUCAAACCAAUGGAAACCCAUGGAAAUGGAUUUCUACGAAUUAGACAUGUCAGCCAAAACAGGUACUCUGUACAGGCAAAGUAAAAGAGAGUUACAAAAAAUUUUAAGAUAAUUAAACUUUUAAUAACCAUAUAAUUAAUAGAAAACUUUGUACACAAUGAUUUAUAUGAGAUUAAGAUUGUAUACCUAAGUUUUAAUUGCAAACUAAAUAUACACAACAUGAUAUUAGCAUUAGAAGACUGCACCAAAACGCACCGAAUUGAAUGUACCUCUUAACGGCCAUUGUACAUGCAUUGAAAGUUUACCGCAAAAGCUGUUUCAAACGUGAUGCAUCUUAGAGAUGCAAGAUGAGAAAUUGUUAUUACAACUAGCAUUGAAACAUGUGUGAAAACUGUUAAUGGACCUAAAUAACUUGAAAAUCAGAAAAGAUUAGGAAUGAGUGACUAAGCCUGCUAAUCGCAACUAAACGUGCAAACCUUGAAAAUCCAAAAUUGUACUCGAUGAAUGUGCAAUUGCUCAAGCAGGUAAAUUUCCUGCAAAGGCUCUUACAAACCCUCAAAGAUGAUACUCUACAUACCAUGGUAACCUGAGUAACAAAAAGAAACACAGUGAAUAUUAAAGGGCAUUCUGACAAUGCAAAUUUGUGUAAAUUAACAACUGCGGUUACCUGCAUAAUAGUGUCAAUACCGAAUUCCUUCCUCCAUGGAAGCAUGUGAUCAGCCCACAUGUGCUUUGCUCUGUAGCUUUUGAAUACCUGAAAUUGUUAUCACAACCAACGGUGAAAAAUGGGUGAAAAAAGGGUAAUAGUAGCAUAAUUGAAUUUGCUUAUAGAGGAUAAACCGAUCAAAGAAAAAAACAAGACAGAAAUGAUGAUCUUAGUACCUUAAUAUCAUGCAAUAAUAAUCAUCAUGCCUUCUAGGCAGCUAUCCAUCCUCAAUUGAAACAGAGCAGACCUGGCCAUCACUUUCUUCUUCAAAGUCCAGCAACUGAACGUUGCACACAACACCACAGUGGAAGUUCCAUCACCAGCCUAAUCCUUGAUUACCCCAAUGUUCUCCAUAGGGUCUUCAAAGUCAACCUAAAAAUAAAAUGAAAAUGCAAUGCAUUAUUAUUAGGGAUCUAGUGCUUGAGCUUGCUUUGACAUCAUGGUAUUAGCAAAUUCUGAUAUAGCCAAAAUGGUGAAUAAGAUGACGUACUUGAUAAGAAAAACCUGAUUUAACAAAUAAUUAAGGAGCCGGUAACAAUCACAGAAUCUCAUCAUGUGGGGAACGCCUUGGCAACAGAAGAUGGUGCUUUCAUUCAAGCAAUAGCAACUUUCCAAUUUCAUAAGGUAGUUUAAUGGCCCUUUUAAGAACAUCUGCACCAGCCUAAUAAUUAUUCAUGGAAAUUAAUAAUCAGAAUCAUGUUAGAUUGAGAGAUGAAACAUAAUAAGCGAUUUGGCCACCAUAUAUGCAUUUAUCACCUUCAAUUUGCUCAUCUUUGUCUAGAGUAUUGCUUCUGCAUUAACUUAAUUAGCUUGCAAGCCACCUGAACAUGGUUUUAAAUAAAGUGUAAGAGCUCGAAUUCGAACGAAUUAAUCAAAUAUGCUGACAGGAGAAACAAAAGUAAAUAACCACAAGAAGUAGAAAUAUACUUUUGUUAUAUUCAGAGCAUCUUCUUGCGUCAAGUUCUUUUCCUUUAGCUCUGUUUCUGUUUGUGCUCAAACGCAAUGGCUCAAGGGCCAAGAUAAUUUUAUGACCAUCAAUCUUUUUGCAGCCACAGCAGACUUGAAAAAAUGAUUGUGGCCCUAAGGAACUUGAAAAUUAGAAAAGAUUCAGAAUGAGUGACUAAAUAUUAUAAUUGAAACUAACUAAACAUUAUAAUCGAAACUAAUUAAACGCCUAGAAAAUCUGAAACUGAGCAAUUGCUUCUGGUGGAAACUUUACUGCAAGGACUUUCUCAAACCCUUGAAGAUCACACUCUACCUGAUAACAAAGAAACAGUCAAUAUACGAAGAUGAUUUUACUAACAAGUGAGUGCUUACACAUAUUGGAAGGAUAAUGAUGAUUCAUAACCCAAAUCCCCAAUACUCCCUAUUAUCUCACUCAAGUUCGAGCUCCCAGAAUUCACUACUGUGAAGCUCUCACAACAAAAUUCCCUUCAAAGAUUCUCUACUCAAAUUUGAUGAUGAUGUCCCUCCAAAGGAGGCAAAAAAUCUAACACUGAUCAAAUUGGUUUGUGAACAAUUAAUCUUCCUGGCCAUCAUGCAUACCAGGUGUGGUGAGCAAUCUUCAUUAUGACAUUUGCCUUAAUAAGCAGCUUAGUUUCCUUAACCUGAUAACUUACACAAACAAAAACAACUUGAUUAAAGUUUAAUAUUUAGAGGCAGAACAGUAAAGAAGAUGAUAUAUAUUGAUACUAAAAUUUGACCUGUGUUAUCCUGACGUCAAGAAUCACAGCAUCUCAUGUGGGCAGAAUCUUCGCAGUACAAUAUGCUUGCAAAAUUGAAGCAGCAUCUUAUCACCUGUAAUUUAAUUAAGACAAUAACUUUCCCCAACCAUUUCAAUGCAUUAUUGCCAACUAAAUUCAGAGGGUGCUAAUUAAAUAGCCUUUGAACAAUAUAUUCUUAUUCUUCUCCAAUCUAACAAUUAUUUCGAAAAUCUAAAUGACAAUCACGCAUCGAUGGCAUCAAAAUUUGGCUACAAAGCAGCCUGGAAAAGGCUUUACUCUCUGAAUGAGAGCAUGAAUUCGAAACAAAUAUGAUGAAUGAAGAAAAUAAGGCAUAAUACCACCAAAAGUAAAACUUUCUCCCAGGGCUCUAUGUUUCUGUUUGUGCUAAAACCAAUAGAAACCGAUGGAAAUGAAUUUCUAGGAAUUAGACAUAUCAGCGAAAACAGGUAUUCUGUACAAGCAAAGUAAAAUAGGGUUACCAAAAUUUUUAAGAUUGAUAUGAUACUUGAAAAAUAGGUUUGCACAGAAUUAAUUAUUCUGUCAUUGAGAUUGUUCUUUUAUAGAGAUUUACAGCACACAUAAAACUAUUAAAUCAGUAAACUAAAUCACUGAUUUAAGGAAAGAAUAAUUUCUAGGUAGAUUUUCCUAAAAUACAUAGAUUUGCACCUAAAUAGCUAUGUUACAGCUAAUGACUAAUUUACAGCACAUAUUUUUUCUAAUUUUCUAACACUCCCCCUCGAGCUGGUUUGAAGAUAUCCUCCAUAGCCAGCUUGCCAACUAGAAAAUUGAACUGUUUUGUGUGUAGUCCUUUGGUAAAGACAUCAGCCACUUGUUCUCCAGUAGGAAUGUGCUCCAUAUGAACCAAUCCAUUAUCUAUCUUCUCCUUGAUGAAAUGCUUGUCAAUCUCCACAUGUUUUGUGCGGUCAUGAAGGACUGGAUUGUGUGCUAUUGAGAUUGCUGCCUUGUUGUCACAGUACAACUACAUAGGAGAUGAUUUUGUCGCUUUUAACUCUUCCAACAGCCUCCUAAUCCACAUGAUCUCACAAAUGCCAUGGGUUACAGCUCUAAAUUCAGCCUCAGCACUGCUCCUAGCUACCACAUUCUGUUUCUUGCUUCUCCAAGUAACCAAAUUACCACCUACAAAUGAACAGUAUCCAGAAGUGGAUCUUCGGUCUACUUUGCAGGUAAAUUUACUGCAAAGGCUCUUACAAGCCCUCAAAGAUGAUAUUCUACAUACCAUGGUAACCUGACUAACAAAAAGAAACACAGUGAAUAUUAAAGGGCAUUCUGACAAUGCAAAUUUGUGCAAAUUAACAACUGCGGUUACCUGCAUAAUAGUGUCAAUACCGAGUUCCUUCCUCCAUGGAAGCAUAUGAUCAGCCCACAUGUGCUUUGCUCUGUAGCUUUUGAGUACCUGAAAUUGUUAUUACAACCAGCGGUGAAAAUUGGGUGAAAAAAUGGUAAUAUUAGCAUAAUUGAAUUUGCUUAUAGAGGAUAAACCGAUCAAAGAAAACGACAAGAUAGAAAUGAUUAUCUUAGUACCUUAAUAUCAUGCAAUAAAAAUCAUCAUGCCUUCCAGGCAGCUAUCCAUCCUCAAUUGAAACAGAGCAGACCUGGCCAUCACUUUCUUCUUCAAAGUCCAGCAACUGAACGUUGCACACAACACCACAGUGGAAGUAGUUCCAUCACCAGCCUAAUCCUUGAUUACCCCAAUGUUCUCCAUAGGGUCUUCAAAGUCAACCUAAAAAUAAAAUGAAAAUGCAAUGCAUUAUUAUUAGGGAUCUAGUGCUUGAGCUUGCUUUGACAUCAUGGUAUUAGCAAAUUCUGAUAUAGCCAAAAUGGUGAAUAAGAUGAUGUACUUGAUAAGAAAAACCUGAUUUAACAAAUAAUUAAGAAGCCGGUAACAAUCACAUAAUCUCAUCAUGUGGGGAAUGCCUUGGCAACAGAAGAUGGUGCUUUCAUUCAAGCAAUAGCAACUUUCCAAUUUCAUAAGGUAGUUUAAUGGCCCUUUUAAGAACAUCUGUACCAGCCUAACAAUUAUUCAUGGAAAUUAAAAUUCAGAAUCAUAUUAGAUUGAGAGAUGAAAUAUAAUAAGCGAUUUGGCCACCAUAUAUGCAUUUAUCACCUUCAAUUUGCUCAUCUUUGUCUGGAGUAUUGCUUCUGCAUUAACUUAAUUAGCUUGCAAGCCACCUACAAAUGGUUUUAAAUAAUGUGUGAGAGUGUGAAUUCGAACGAAUUAAUCAAAUAUGCUGACAGGAGAAACAAAAGUAAAUAACCACAAGAAGUAGAAAUAUACUUUUGUUAUAUUCAGAGCAUCUUCUUGCGUCAAGUUCUUUUCCUUUAGCUCUGUUUCUGUUUGUGCUCAAACAGAAUGGCUCAAGGGUCAAGAUAAUUUUAUGACCAUCAAUCUUUUUGCAGCCACAUGCAGACUUGAAAAACUGGUCGUGGCACUAAGGAACUUGAAAAUUAGAAAAGAUUCAGAAUGAGUGACUAAAUAUUAUAAUCGAAACUAAUUAAACAUACACGCCUAGAAAAUCUGAAACUGAACUUCUCAAAUGUAUAUGCCUCUUCGCAGCAAUUGCUUGUGGUGGAAACUUUACCGCAAGGACUUUCUCAAACCCUUGAAGAUCACACUCUACCUGAUAACAAAGAAACAUAGUCAAUAUACGAAGAUGAUUUUACUAACAAGUGAGUGCUUACACAUAUUGGAAGGAUAAUGAUUACUCAUAACCCAAAUCCCCAACACUCCCUAAUAUCUCACUCAAGUGAGUACGAGCUCCCAGAAUUCACUACUGUGAAACUCUUACAACAAAAUUCCCUUUAAAGAUUCUCUACUCAAAUUUGAUGAUGAUGUCCCUCGAAAGGAGGCAAAAAAUCUAACACUGAUCAAAUUGGCUUGUGAACAAUUAAUCUUCCUGGCGAUCAUGCAUACCAGGUGUGGUGAGCAAUCUUCAUUCUGACAUUUGCCUUAAUAAGCGGCUUAGUAUCCUUAACCUGAUAACUUACACAAACAAAAACAACUUGAUUAAAGUAUAAUAUUUAGAGGCAGAACAGUAAAGAAGAUGAUAUAUAUUGGUACUAAAAUUUGACCUGUGUUAUCCUGACGUCAAGAAUCACAGCAUCUCAUGUGGGCAGAAUAUUCGCAGUACAAGAUGCUUGCAAAAUUGAAGCAGCAUCUUAUCACCUGUAAUUUAAUUAAGACAAUAACUUUCCCCAACCAUUUCAAUGCAUUAUUGGCAACUAAAUUCAGAGGGUGCUAAUUAAAUAGCCUUUGAACAAUAUAUUCUAAUUCUUCUCCAAUCUAACAAUUAUUUGGAAAAUCUGAAUGACAAUCAUGCAUCGACGACAUCAAAAUUUGGCUACAAAGCAGCCUGGAAAAGGCUUUACUCUCUGAAUGAGAGCAUGAAUUCGAAACAAAUAUCAUGAAUGAAGAAACAAAGGCAUAAUACCACAAAAAGUAAAACUUUUCCCAGGGCUAUCUGUUUCUGUUUGAACUAAAACCAAUGGAAACCGAUGGAAAUGAAUUUCUAGGAAUUAGACAUAUCAGCCAAAACAGGUACUCUGUACAAGCAAAGUAAAAUAGGGUUACAAAAAAUUUUAAGAUUGAUAUGAUAAUUAAAAUUUCAGUCACCAUAUAAUUAAUAGAAAACUUUGGACACAAUGAUUUAUUGCAUAUUAAGAUUGCUAUAUAAAAUAUAAUAUUAGCAUUAGGAGACCGCACCGAAGCAUACCGAAUUGAAUGUGCCUUUUCACAGCCAUUUUACAAGCUUUGAAGCUUCACCACAAAUGCUUUUUCCAACCCGUGAACAUGGUGCACCCGAGAGAUGCAAGCUAUGAAAUUGUUACUACAGCAAGCGUUGGAACAUUUGUUAAAAAAGGAAGUUUAUGAAAAUACGCCUUUGGAUACCAGUCUUCAGGAAUCAAUUCAUCCGUAAUAACAAUUUUCAAGAAUUAUCAACUGCUUUAAGCUCAUCGACAUCACAAAGAUCUCAACUAAAAUAGAGCAGAUCCGGCCAUCACUAUCCCUUCUACUGCUCUUUUCCUUUAGAGAAUGAUUGAAUUACAGAAUGCGUGUAAGGCAUUCUUAUUCAAGGUCCAAUGAUCAAACCUUGCACUAUAACAACAGAGGUAGUAGUUUCUUCGCCAGCCUAAUCCUUGGUCUCAGGAAUGUCCUCAACAGAGUACUCGAAAUCAACCUAAAAAUUAAGAAUGAGUUGGAAAACUGUUUAUGGCCCUAAAGAACUUGAAAAUAAGAAAAGAUUAAGAAUGAGUGACUAAACAUUUAAUCGCAACUAAACAUACAAACCUUGAAAAUCUAACUUUGAAGUACUCUUGAAUGAAUGAGCAGUUGCACGAGCUGGUGACAACUAAGGUUACUGUGAAGUCUCUUACAAAUCCUUAAAGAUGAUACUUUACAUACCACGAUAACCUGAUAACACAUAGGAACACAAUAAACAUUAAAGUGUAUUCUGACAAUGCAAAUUUGUGGAAAUCAUCAGCUGUGGUUACCUGGACAAUAUUGCCAACACCAAACUCCUUCCUCAAUUGAAACAUAUGAUCAGCCCACAAAUGCUUUGCUUUGUAGCUUUUGAGAGCCUGAAAUUGUUAUCACAACCAACAAUGAAAAUUGGGUGAAAAAAUUGAUAAUAUUAGCUUAAUUCCAUAUGUUUAUAUAGGAUAAACCGAUCAAAGAAUGAAAAAAGAUAGAAACAGAGCAGACCCAGCCAUCACUUUCUUCUUCAAAGUCGCACCAUAACCACAGUGGUAGUCGUUCCACUGCCAGCCUAAUCCUUGGUCACCCCAAUGUUCUCCAUGAAGUAUUCAAAGUCAACCUAAAAAUAAAUAAAAAUGCAAUGCAGGUGGAAAUGAAAAUUCUAUAAAUUAAAUAAAAUAAAAAUGCAAUGCUUGAGCUUGAGCUUGCUUUAGCAUCAUCGUAAUAGUAAAUUUUGAUAUAUCUUUACUUCUCUGUUCUUGUUUAUUCACAACAAGAUAUCAAUAGAAGAAGAUGGAAAUGAAAUUCUAUAAAAUAAAGCAAGUGAAUUACCAACAGAACAUUUUAGCAAUCCUUUGGCUAAACUUUUCAUUUUCUUAGCAUACUCUCCUGCCUGGUGAACAUAAUUAAACAAGUAUGAAAUAAAACAAAGUGGGCUAAUGUAGUAAAAACAAUAACACAAUUACUUUAAAGAAUUAAUGUCACGUAUAUUAUAUAUAAAAAAAUACGAUUAUCAUUAUAUAAGAUAAAAUUGAUAAUUUAGUUUUCAACAUUACUGCAAACGUAUCACAGAGAUUUUGUUACACAUAACAAAUUUUCGUACAUAUGAAAAUAAAUUACAUUGCAUGAAAUUUUACAAAAGAGCACAUAUUUUUUAAAAGUAAAUAAAUAUAGAAAUUUCAACAGACUACACUUGUAUUUUUUUUUAAUUAUUUAAUCUUUAGAAAACAAGUUUAACAGAUUUGAUAACUAGGAAGUUUUACGUAUUUAUACCAUGAUUGAUUCUAUAUAGAAUUUUAAUUCAAAAUAUAAUUAUUUUUAUUAAUUUCAUUGCAAGCAACAACGAAGUAAAUUAGAGGAGGAGGAGAAAUUACCGGCGAGUGAUAAAUUACCGCGACCACUUGAUGUGGGGAAUGCGAGAUAUCUUAUGCCAGUCUUCUCCUUUCCCCUCUCUAUAACGGUUUUCCAGAAGAGGACAUCUGUCAAUAGUCAAUUCCUGCAGCGUCGUCGUCCGAAGAAGGUAAUCCGGCAGCACCUUUAAUUUGGGGCAAUACUCAAUUACCAAGGAAGAAAGACGUGGUAUGUCUGUUGUCCUGUGAUCUUCUAGAAUGGGCAGUUCUUCCAUAUUUGCACAAAAAGAAAUCCUCAGUUUCUGCAGUGCCGUCGUUCGAAGAAGGUAAUCCGGCAGCGCCUUCAAUUUGUUGCAAGAACGAACUUCCAAGGAAGAAAGACGGGGCAUGAUAGAGAUGUUUUCCUUCCUCGUAAUCCUGUAAUUCCACUCUUCCAAUUCUUCCAUGUCCCAAAUUAUGAGUGAUUUCAAUUUGGGGAAGGCAGUAACUGAUGAUGAUGAUGAAGAUGAAGACGGGCCAUCCUCACUGCUUUCUUCUAUUCCCAAAAACUCAUUACCCACUCUUUUUACACUUUUCAAGUACCAUAGUUCGAGUUUUUCCAGAGGCAAUUUUCCCAAAGGAGGCAAAUGCUCACACUUAAGGCACGAGCGAAGAUAUAAAUUCCUUAGAUUGGUCAGUGAAGUCAACCAUUUGGGAAAAAUGUUGCGUCCAUAUAAUAUAAUCCCUAAUUUCUCUACACUCAAAGGCGGUUGUAAGGCUUUAAGAAGUUGUUCAUCUUUCUCUUUCUUCCUCCUCCUUUCUUCAUCUUCCCCAUCUACGACUCUACCAAACUCAAGACGCAAACGAAGGAGGUUUUGCUGAUUGUAAAGUUGUAAUCUCUCGACCUCAUCUAAACGGGACACAUUACCCAGCCCUUCAAUUCCACAUUCUCGAAGGAGUUGAAGAUUUUUCAGAGAUUCAAGCCUACAAGUAUUGCUACCAUCAACACCUCCACCCACCACAAACUUGUCUAAUGUUCGAAGACUGGUUAAUUUGGAAAUCCCUACUGGCAUGUAUUUCAACGAAUAAGUUUCAGCAUUCAGUAAACUCCUCAUGUUCUUUAACUUCCCAAUCCCCGCUGGCAAUUCUUUAAGAUUUCGGCACCGCCUAAUAUCUAGCUUUUGUAAAUUAUAUAAUUCACACAAAGUCUUAGGUAGUCUCUCUAUGCCUAAUUCAGACAAAUUAAGAUAUCUUAAAUGUAUCAAUUUUCCGACAUUUUUUGGAAUUUCUCUAAUCAAACUUGAGUGAAGACGAACAGGCGAGGAUGAUAGCCUUAUAACUAAUGAUUCCCUUAUAACUAAUGCCCUCAAACAUGCCAAUUUACUAAAUAACUUUCGAGUUUCUCUAAUCUUAUAUGUGUUUGGACAAAAACAUAGGCGCAACAGCCUUAUAACUAAUGCCCUUAAACAUUCUUUGCUACUACUAAAAGACGAAAGGAUGCUACUAAGAGACAGAUUGAAAUCACUUCUAUCAUAAAUUAAAAGGGUACGCAAUCUAUCAAGUCCACGAAUGGAUAUAGGAAAUGAAGUGCCUCUUUGAAAAUUUAACCCUAAGUGACGGACUUUGUCACCAAAAGAGUUUAUGACUGAGUCUUUGGUACCAUUAAUUUCUACCCACAAACAUUCUUUUCUACUUACAAAUUGGGCAAAAUCAUGUAUUAUGUCAUGCAUCUUGCAGCUCAUAAUAUCAUCAUCAUCAUCUUUUUUAAACUCUUGAAAGAAAGAGCGUGCUGCUAAAAUGUUGAAAUACUCUUCCCCAAUCAUCUCCAUCUCUUCGUCUUCUUCUGUAUUAAGAUAACCUUGAGCCAUCCAUAGUGAAAUUAGUUCCUCUUUAUUCAUAUUGUAGUUUUUUGGAAAGACAGCACAAUAUGAGAAACAUUGUUUUACCAUAGAAUUGGAGGGCAAAUCGUUAUAACUCAACAACAAAGGAGCUAAAAGACCUUGCCCAAUUGCUUCUACUUUCCACAUUUCACUCUCUAAAAUUCUUUGCCACUCUUUUACUGUACUUUUAGAGCGCAAGAGAUUCCCUAUUACCUUUGCAGCAAGAGGCAGGCCUUUGCACUUAUGUGCAAUUUUGCGCCCGAUUGGUUCUAAUUUUUCACGAUCCUCAAAGGACCUACGUAGAAAUGCCAUCUGCUUAAACAGUAACCAACAUUCCCCUUCUCCCAACUCCUUGACAGGGAUAAUAUCUAUUGAUCCCAACUGUAGUGCAACUGACCUAUCACGUGUGGUAAUUAGAAUUUUACUUUCAUGGUGGCCAUUCUUUAGACAAGAAAAGAAUGGGUCCCAUUUUUUGUAAUCUACAUCCCACACAUCAUCUAAAACAAGAAAAAACUUUUUUCCUUCAAUUGAUGUAUGGAUAUGGCUCAUAAGAGAUUGGAAUUCGCUUAAAUCAUAAGCUUCUUUUGACUUGCCUAGACCUUCAAUGAUUGCUUUGGCAACCCUAAUCCUCUCAAAAGUGUCUGAUACACACACCCAUAUAACUUUUUCAAAAUUUCUUUUCACCUCAUCAUUAUUAUAGGCCAGUUGUGCAAGAGUGGUUUUACCUAUACCCCCUAACCCAACUAGUGAGAUGAUAUGAAGGCCUUCUUGUUGUUCACUACUUUGACACAACAACUUGCUUAAGAGCUCAUCUUUCUCAUUAACUCUACCGCAAACCUCUCCCUCAUCAAUCAAGGAGGUGGUUCGCACUCGCUCUGGUUUCUUGACAUUGUUACUCACAUUCUCAACAAAUUUAAACAUAUCUUUUCGAGUGGCAAUACCAUCUAGCUUUUCAUUGAUUUCCCUAAUCUUGACAGCAAUGUCAUGACGAAGACUGAGUUGUUUGAAACUGCCACAGCAGUUUGAUACAGCACAAAAGAAGGAACGUACCUUCUUCUUAUGAACGCCCUCAAUCUGCAAUUUGAGCCUUGCAGUGGUCCACUCCUCCAACACAUCUUCCAUGUCGUAAGAUGCGUCUUUGAGCUGAUCCAGCCAAAAAGUAACAUCUUUCUCGUGCUGCAUUUGCCUUUUCUCUGCAUCUUCCAGCACAAGUUGAAUGGCUUGUAGAUUGCUGGUGAGCUUUUUCACUUCUUCGUCGACACCAGUAACAAGCCUCACCUGUUGUUUCAGUUCAUCAGUUGCAACUGAGCUCAGCUGCUCCAGGAGAGAGGAAACGAUCGCAUCAACCAUUCUGACAAAGAAGAUGAGAAUUCUGAAGAGUUAUUAGAUGUGCUUUUGUUGCGAAGAUAUGAAAGAAAGGAGUUAUUGCAUUCUUUUAUACUGCAUAGAAAAGGUUUAUGCUUAUCCCCACCCCACACGUCAAUGAUUGUAGAAUGUUUAAUUUCCCUGAUUCUACUCCACUAGUUGUGAUGCGUAAUUAUAAAUAUUCUCAAGUUAUGUAUGAAAAUCCCACAAAUUUGGAUCUAGUAAUGAUUUUUAUGUAUUUUUUCAUAAUCUUCUAAAAUACUAUAUCUGCAUGUUAUUUCGUGCAGAAAUAUGGCAUUGGGUGAAAAAAGUUAUGCUUAUCCCCACCCACACGUUAGUAAUUGUAGUAGCAUCUGUAAUUUCCAUGAUUCUACUCCACGGACGAACACAUUUUUUGUACUAACAUCUUUAAAUUCCCACACGUUAGGAAUUUGGCACAUAAUCUCAAACUCGUCGCAUCUUUAACGUAUGAGGUUGAUGAAUAAAUUCUUUUCUCAUAUCAAUUUAAAACUCCGAGAUUAUGUGCCAAAUUCCUAACGUGUGGGAAUUUUACCUCCUAAGUAAUCCGGCCCACUGCCAAGUGCCAACUUUUUCUCUGUCGAGUUAAUGAUGUUGUUUUGUUUUCCUUGUUUUAAUUAAUGUUGCGGAGAGAAACAGAUCGAUGCAAAUGGCUAGCCAGGUUUUGCAGAAACCGUGAAUGGUCUUGCAUGCAUGUGACAUAAAGCUUUAUAUAUAGCUUAUUCCUCCAUCAACAUUUCAAUGGUUCCAUCUCACGUGCACUUGGCUAUGAAUAAGGUCCAUGCAUGGAUCGAUCGAUUUAGGAGUUUGGACCAUCUCAUGCUGCAGAGUUAUGUGUCAUGUAUGUGUGUUGACACUUGCCAGUUCAUUUUUGUUAUAAAGAUUAUUGAUACUCGUAAAUGUACUACUUACAAAUCAUAAAUUUUGAGUUUGACACUUUAGUUUCAUUUUGUAAUCCCUACGCUCUUUAAAUAUUUGUAAUAAUAUAUUUCAAACUUUAACUCAGACGUAAUGAAUGAAGGGGGAUCCUCUUCUUAUAUAAAUUUUUAUUUUUUAACGUUCAAGUUACAUUUGAUUACGUGUACUUAUUAUCUAGUUUUGACUAUCUAAUGACAUUUGAUUACGUGUACUUAUUAUAUGAUUUUUUUUUAAAUGAUGGGUCUGGUGAGAUUUUUUACAUCUUGGAUUAGUAGGUCAAGAACGGGCAGGGCAGGGCCUUCUCUGAAGUCAAUCUUGUGAGCAACACCAGCUUUUUGGAUAAUUGGCAGCCCCAAUUCAUAAUUUUCUCAGUUGAUGUCCAUGGCCAAAAUCUGCAACCGAAGCUUAUUCUACUCUUAUUAAUCGAGAGAUAAUUUUAUCUCUAACUAAUUUAAUUGGGAGGAAAAUUGAGAGAGAUAUCCACUCUGUCCUUAUUAAUUGAGAGAUAAUUUUACCCUUACCCAAUUUAAUUGGAAAGGAAAUCGAAUUCCAACAAUAACUAGGACUUGAAUCCAUGCACUUAAGCUAACUUUAAGUUUUAGGAUGCAUGGUUAUAAUGUUCUUUAUUUAAAUCCUAACAAAUGGUGGGACUUGAACUUGUGCCUACAAACAUUGAGUGCUUAGGGGCUGCAAAAUUUCAUAACUUAAUUUUAGUUGAUGUGGUAUGUGCCCUAUCACAUAAAUAUGUAGAUAAUAAUAAUUAAUACAUUAACAAAAUGAAAAAUAUUAGUUUACAAAAUACAAAUCCAAAUUUUUUGUGUGACAAGGGACUUAAAAGGGAGAGACUAAACAAAUGUGGUGAAAACGACAUGUAUUACUAAAACUAAAAAUACGAAGUCUAGGCAAUUGAAAACAUCGGGUUUUUUAUUUAAAUAUCCCCAAUUUGUCCUUAAAUACCAAAUUUAUACCCUAUUAUAUACAUAUACCUCACGAAGAUAGGGAAAAUAAAAAAUAACCUUAAAAAAAUCAAGAAUCCACACAUUUCUUCCUCUCAGUGCAGGAAGAUGUCGAGUACGAAGUCGGGUAAGUCGAGAAUUUAGUCGAGCAAGAAUUGGAGAUAAGUAAGUUGAGUAUAUGGUCCAGUAGGAAGUUGAGUAAGCAUAUUAAAUGAGUCCAGUAUUAAGUGGUAGAGUAUUAAGUAAAAGUCAAGUAAAUUUUUUAAACAAGUCAAAUAAAAUUUAUGUAAUUUUUAAAGAGGUUGAGUAUUAAGUCGGGUUAGUACAUUGGGUCGAGUGUUAAUAUUUUUAAAGAAGUGAAGUCUGGUAAGUUGAGCAUUCAGUCGAGUAAGAAGUUAAGGCAAUUGAAUAAGUCGAGUCUCUAGUCGAGUACGAAGUCGGGUAUAAAGUCUGGUAAGUUGAGCAUUCAGUCGAGUAAGAAGUGAAGGCAAUUGAAUAAGUCGAGUGUCUAGUCGAGUACGAAGUUGGGUAUGAAAUCUGGUAAGUUGAGCAUUCAGUCGAGUGAGAAGUGAAGGCAAUUGAAUAAGUCAAGUAUCUAGUCGAGUACGAAGUCGGGUAUGAAGUAUGGUAAGUUGAGCAUUCAGUUGAGUAAGAAGUGAAGGCAAUUGAAUAAGUCGAGUACGAAGUCGGGUAUGAAAUAUGGUAAGUUGAGCAUUCAGUCGAGUGAGAAGUUAAGGCAAUUGAAUAAGUCGAGUAUCUAGUUGAGUACGAAGUCGGGUAUGAAGUUUGGUAAGUUAAGCAUUUAAUCGAGUAAGAAGUGAAGGUAAUUGAAUAAGUCGAGUAUCUAGUUGAUUACGAAGUCGGAUCUGAAGUCUAGUAAGUUGAACAUUCAGUUGAGUAAGAAGUGAAAACAAUUGAAUAAGUCGAAUAUCUAGUCGAGUAAAAAAGUCGAGUAAGUAGAUUGAAUGAGUAGGGUAUUAAUUUUUUGUUGGCAUUUUAUUGAGGCUAUUUUUGUACUUUCUUUGGUUUUUUAAGUAUGUAUAUGCAAAGUACAGAUUUUAAUAGAUGGAUGUAUAUUUUGGGUAUUACGAGAGAAACGGGGUAUAUCCCACGCAAUUCCUUCGAAAACAUCUCUGUCAAUUGCAAUGAACAGAUCACAACCCUUCAUAAUUAAACAAAAUCAAACUUGAAAAAAAAAAUCACACACACACACACAAAACAAUCACAAAAACUAUUUGUUCUGAUCAUCCCUGCUUUUUUUUAGCGUAGCUCUUGGAAUGAAAAUUAACAAAAAGUGUCAAAAGAGAAGCAUUAAACACAGCAUUGAAGCACCAGCCCAAAAUCCCAGAGCAACCAAAUCCCGUAAAAUGAUAAUACAGCAUCAAAACCGAAACAACAAAACUAAACACAAACUGAACAAUCUAACAAUCAGUGACCAAUCUCUUCCACUUUGGCCGCAACCCCAUCACACACAAUAGAUAGUACCCGUACAUGAUCACAUGCACACUUGCAUUAGUCACAAGUGCAAUAGGAAACAAAGACUGCUUCGUCUGUAACCAAAGGUAGCACAUUACGACGACGGUUGCAUGGUGGUAGACGUGGAGGAACGUGAGCCAUUGGAUGGAUUUUGACAAAAUGAUCAAAAGGGUGUCUAAGAAUUCGAGUAUUUUGGAGAGGUAGAAGAGGUAAGCGUAGAAGAAGAGGGGCCAGACGGAGAAAUGGUGGGGGGGAAACAGAGGGUGUAAUGGAGGUGGGGCAAAUGGACGAUGAUGGAGAGAGUGCAGCCAACGGCCAUGAUGAGGGAGAGGAGGAGGAGGGUGAGGUUAUGGACGGCUGUGAUGGGCUUGAGGAUGUGGGGUCCAAUGAGAGGUGAUGAUGAUGGUGAUGUUGAUGUUGAUAUGUGGUAGAGGAUGAAUGUGAGGGAGAGGUAAGUGAGGAUGGAGAGAAUGAGGAAGUGUGGGGAAGAAGCUAGUGUUUGGUUCUGAGUCCAUGUGAAGCUGAGGAUUUGGGGGUGGUUUACAAGACAAUAUUGGAGUGUUGAGGUGAUUGAAUUUGAAGCCAUGGCUAGUUUUGGGGGAAGAAAGAUUUUGGAAGAGAUGAUGUUGAGAUGAACGGGGAGUUUAUAAAGUUUUGGGAUAAUGUGGAGGGUAUUUUGGACAUAUUGUUGUCUCAGCUUAAAUUUUGGGAAAAAGAUGAUCAAUAAGAAGCUCUUUUUUUCAUAUCAAUUUAAAACUCCGACGGUGUUUCCAAAAAUUGUUUUUCUUUUUCCGUUUUUAAUUUUAAAUCAUAAAUUUAGUAAAAGAAGUUGAAUCAAGUGAUCACUUUUUUUUUAAUGUAAAACAAUUAAUUUCUUUGUGAUUUAAGCAAAUAUUGAGUUGCAUACUUUAAAUAUAUUAAUAUUUGAUUCGAAAUUUCAUCUACCGAAACUACAAAAAUUAAUAUUUUCUAUUAAAUCAAAACCAAAAUUAAAGAUGACUCCUUGUCUGCCAACUGUCAUUAAACAAAGCCAUCACUCACGUGAAAAAAAAAAGUGAUAUAUUCAUUUUAACGUAAUUUCAUACCAACAUAUCAUUCUUUUUUUUCCAAUAAUGACCUCUUUAAUUAUAAAUAUGGUAAAAGGGGAUGGGUUCGAGGUAUGGCGUCCGGGCCUUUGUGACAACGGUAUCUUUGGACGUGGGUGUCGUUAGAUUUUUGGCUAUUUUCUGGUCAAUCAAACUGGUGGAUCACAUGCAUUUUAAUGACCUCUUUAAUUAUAAAAAUAUGGUAAAAGGGGAUGGGUUUAAGGAAUGGCGUCCAGGCCUUUGUGACAAAGUUGGAUGUGGGUGUCAUUUAGACUUUUGGCUAUUCUGCUCAAUCAAACUCGUGGAUUACAUGCACUCAACGCGGACAUUAUGGAAAUGGGAGAAAAUUAUGUUAGUAAUAGCAUCUUCAAAAGUUUCUAUACAUUUUACUCUUUAAAUAUUUAUUUACUUAUUUAUAUGAUAAAUAGAAAGGUAAAAAAAUAUAUUAUUCUCCAAAAAAACUCUUUCAAAUAAAAAUUAAGUUAAUAUUAUUUUAAUCAAAUAAUUAUUUUUUAAAGGAAAAGUUAACAGCAAUUAAAGCACUUCUCUUUCUCUCUCUAAUAAAAAGUAAUAAAAUAUUAAUUGAAGUGUUUUUUAGAACCUUAAAUGUUGAUGUGACUCUUCAAAUAAGUAAUAAAAUCUUAAUUGAAGAGCCUUUUGGUGAUGGUUUAAAACCCACUGUUUUCGUUCUAAACUAAGUGAAUUUAUCUCGUGAGCUAAGUAGUUUAGGAGAUAACUCAAAUAAUUAACUUUUAUUAGUUUAAUAAUAAGAAUUUUCGAUUAUAUUUUAAAAGGUAUAAUUCAUUACAAAAAAUUACUUAAUAAAAAUAACUUUAUUUAACAUAUUACAUUUUUUCAAUAAUAAAAUAAUUCAAAUUUUUAAUUAUUAUAACAAAAAAAAUUUGUAAUAUAAUCCAUUCAUAUACCACAUCACGUAAAAUUAACCUAGUACUACAUGUAAUCUUGUUACUACUAUUCCUAUAAUAUUCUACACAUCAUAUACUAUCAAAUUCCAUCCGGCAUGCCAAAUGUGCAAAGUUUGAGUAAGACUUGUUAAAGUUGAGAGUAACAUCUUAUAUGGCCAAGCGCAUUGAGUAUGGAUUUGCAUGAUCGAGUGAGUACAACUAAAGUCGGGUAGAGUCUGGAAAAUCCCUAUAAUGUUGAGGUUGGAGAACUAUACUUUUUAAGGUACAUAAUUAAACAAUUUUGGUAAAUAUUUACUAUUAUAACUUAAAAUUAAUUUGAUUUGAUCUCAUAUAUUAUUAUAAUAAAAAAACUUAUAAUAUCUUUAUUAAUUUUAUUAAAAAUUAUUAUUUAGAAGUCAUAUAUUUAUUACACAUUGUCAAAUUUUCAGCUUUUUGUUUUUUAACAACAGCUAGUAAUAUCAACAAGACCUAAGUUGAGUAUGAUCAAUUAAUUAAAAUUAUGAUUUUUUUUUGUAUAAAAUAAUCAUUAGAUAAUUAGUCUGUAAAGAAUAUCGGCUACUUCAAAUGGAAACUUGCGAUAAAAAAUGCAUCACAAAAGUAACAAUGACACACUAUAUAAGAAAUCUGAAAUAGAAUUUGCAAAAUUGAACUGAGUUACGGAGAGUAAAUAAGACUCAAAGGAAACAUGGGCAAUUAUUAUUAUCUAGGAAACAAUUCAUAGCUAAAACAAAAUUAACUAUACUUGCCAGGAAAUAUGGCGAAUUCCACCACCUCCUACAAGUUCUUAGGUGUCUUAGAGUUUGAUGACGACUUCCAUGCUGUCUCUUCGACAGGCAGCAAAAUUGGGCAAUUGACUACAUUAACUCCAAGAAAUUUAUGCAGUCACCUUCCUCCGGACUAUCCUCUUUCUUUGAGCUUUGGUUGCCCCUAUUUCCCCUUCAAUAGAGUCAUCACUGUUUUGUUUGAAGCCAAGGAGCCCAAGAUCAGAAAAAUGGCAUUCUUUGGUAUCAAUCCCUCGAUCCCAAAGUCACGUCACUAACUUUCUGUUGAUCGCGUAGCUAGUUCAUGUAUGCCACAGCAGCGGAAGGUAGCCUGAAGAGAAAAAACCUCUCUCUCUUUCUUGCUCAGUAACCACCUGGGCACUUUUGUGCUGAGCCAUGACAUCCUGAGAUGGCCUGUUGUGUAAGCCUUCUUCAAAAGGUCAUCUGUCGAUCUUUCUCCUAAUUAGACAUCCAAAACCCAGCAUGGAAUCCAUUUGAGAAGGUGGACAAUAGACAAACUCCAACGCAUACAGACAGUAAAGAAGAAUUUAGACGCAAUCACUGUGGCUGAAUAAAUGGGCCUAUUAAGCCUAUUAAAAGUUGGAACCAUAUUCACCACUCGCAGUUCCUUAGAGAACUUUAUCAGAAUUCUGAAAAUUUAAAACUAUUCUUACAUAUUUAACUGUAAAACAAGAGAAAUUGUACUUCCGUAGCAAAGUCUCACUAUUGGUAAGUAUCUGGACUUGGAAAGGAUGCUAGUUGAUUAAGUAAAGGAAAAUUGAAAUCAGACUUUGAGGUGAUAGAUCUAUAUACACUUUAAUCGGAACCACAUUAACAUCAUAUGAGCCAAACAAACAAAUUCCCCAGUCAAAGUUCAACAAACAAAACAUUAAAACAAGAGUAAUUUGGUGUAUCAAUGUAUAUAUAGAGAUGUCGAUCAUUGACAAAUACGUAAAAGAGGGAGGGAGAGACCUCAAAGCCGUGCUUAACAACAUUGCUACUCCAAUAACUUCAAAAUGGUUGGCGACGUCUCUAUCAAAGCCACACAAUAGCUGAUAUCUCAUGUUUGCAUGUAGUCCAAUGAAAGCACCAUAACCAAGAACAUUAGUACUCACAGAUGGGUUUGUCACAGAUAACCUGUCAGGCAAUAAAAAUUGCCCAAAUUAAACAAAUGUUAGACCGGCUUAGACAGUAAACGGAACAAUUUCUAAUUUUACUUAUUUUAUAACGAAUAAGUGAACAAAGGAAUGAAAAGGAAGUUUGGCAACAGUCUUUUUACCAGCCAGAUAGUUUGACAAAGAAUCUUGCACUGCUCCUGCAGCUAAUCCACCAUACACAACUCUGCAGUCUUGUUUGGGAGUCAAAAUUCUCAAAAUGGGUAACUCUGUUCAAAUAUACUGUUUGGGAACUUUUGUAAUGUAUUUUGCAAGUCAAACAGGAAGGUAUUUCCAUAAGAAGGUUCACUUCACAUGCUCAACAAUUCAAAUUUGCGGAUGAUAUUUCUCAAAAUGGAGGGCUCUAUUUGGCUUGCCAACAAUCUUCCUCACCAUUAUCAUCCUUGCUAUACCGGUUAAACUGAACAGUCUUCAUUCUGACAUUUGCCCUAUUAACCUGAGUACACAAGAAUCCGAAACAACUGUUAGAAAUUAUAAUCUUUAUAUAUAGCCAAAAUGUUGAAUAAGAUGAUGUACUUGAUAAUAAAAUACCUGAGUUAAUAAAUAAUUAAGGGCCGGUAACAAUGUCAGCAUCUUAUCAAGUGGGAAAGCCUACGCAACGAAGAUGCUGCCUGCUUUCAAGAAAUAAUAACUUUCCAAUUCCAUAAGGUAGGUUAAUGCCCUUUUAAAAAUAUCUCCACCAGCCUAACAAUUAUUCAUUGAAAUGUGUGAGUGUGAAUUCGAACGAAUUAAUCAAAUAUGAUGACACGAGAAAGAAAAUUAAAAUAACCACAAGAAGUAGAAAUAUACUUUUGUUAUAUUUAGUGCAUCUUCUGUGUGUGCUCAAACGCAAUGCCUCAAGGCGCAAGAUAAUUUUAUGACCAUCAAUCUUUUGCAGCCAUAUGCAGACUUGAAACAUUGGCGGUGGUUCUAAGGAACUUGAAAAUUAGAAAAGUUUCAAAAUGAGUGACUAAAUAUGAUAAUCGAAAUUAAUUAAAUAUACACGCCUUGUAAAUAUGAAACUAAAUUACUCAAAUGUAUGUGCCUCUUCGCGCAGCAAUUGCUCGUGGUGGAAACUUUACUGCAAAGACUUCCUCAAACCCUUGAAGAUCACACUCUUCCUGGCAACAAAGAAACAGAGUCGAUAUACGAAGAUGAUUUUACUAACAAGUGAGAGCUUGCAAAUAUUGGAAGGAUAACGAUUGCUCAUAACCCAAAUCCCCAAUACCCUCUAAUAUCUCACUCGAGUGAGUUCAAGCCCCCAAAAUUCACUACAGUGAAACUCUCGAAACAAAAUUCUCUUCAAAUAUUCUCAACUCAAAUUUGAUAAUGAUAUCUCUUGAAGGAAGGCAAAAAAUCUAACACUGAUCAAAUUGGCUUGUGAACAAUUAAUGUUCCUGGCCAUCAUUCAUACUAGGUGUGGCGAACAAUUAAGCUGCUUAGUAUCCUGAACCUGAUAACUUACACAAACACAAAACAACUUGCCUAAAGUUUAAUAUUUAGAGGCAGAACGGUAAAGAAGAAGAUAUAUAUUGAUACUAAAAUUUGACUUGCGUUACCCUGAUGUCAAGAAUAGCGGGAUCUCAUGUGGGCAAAAUCUUCGCAAUACGAGAUGCUUGCAAAAUUGAAGCAGCAUCUUAUCACCUGUAAUUUAAUUAAGAUAAUAACUUUCCCCGACUAUUUCAAUGCAUUAUUGGCAACUAAAUUCAGAGGGCGCUAAUUAAAUACCCUUUUAACAAUAUCUUCUUAUCUUCUUAAUCUAGCAGUUAUUUGGAAAAUCUAAAUGACACUUUUAUGUAUUCUGUGAGAUGCUCAUUCAACCAUGUUUGCAUUCUUCUUAUACUAAUAGGAGAUUUAAUUUUUACCCUCAAGUCAAUGUCAAUGUGAACGUUCUUUUGUGCUGCAAAUUGAAGGAGUCCCCACAGGAGUCACCGUCGUGGUUACUUGCUGCUCUUAAGAUAAUUAGUAACAAAAUAUUUGUAAACUGCAACAAAAAGCUCAGUGCAAUCUAUCUAUGAAUCUUGUGAGUUCACAUAUAAUACAGUCGAUUUAGAAUAGUCAUAAAUUUUUUUAUUAUAAAUAUUAGUAUAUUUUUAAUGGUAUAAUAUAUAUCGAUGAAACUAUAUAGAGUAAUUUCGCCUAAUUGUAUAAAUUCAUUACGAAUAUCAUCACAAAUUUGUAUUUGGUCGGGACCGUGCGAGUGAAAUUUUUGAUAAAAUCGUCUCCUGACAAUUUAUUUAUUAUAUUCCAUUCCUUUUAUUAUCAGGUAGGCCAAAGCCAUUUGGACAUUUGAAAAAAGUAUGUGAUUCUGUUUUAGUCUAUUAUGUCACGACAAAAAGAGAAUUGGAAAAUGUAACAUUCUCAAAUUAAUUUGUAGUGGAAAAGAGAAAAAUAAGACAAAAGUUGGAAAAAUCAUGCAGCCGACCCUUUUUUUUUAUCUGAUUGCGCAAUAUUAGGUAGGCGAAUGCGACUUCAUCGAUAUCACACAGCAGUGGUUCUGUCAUUAAUUUUUUCUUUUAUUUAAUUAAGAAAAGGAAGAAAAGAUAGCACAUGUUAUGAUUAUUGUGAAUUUUCCAUCCCUUAUAUAAAUUCUCAAAUUUAUUUAAAUUGUGAGUCAUAGAAGUAUAUUACCUAAACUAUUUUAUCAGGCCAUGUUCGGAUACUAGGAUUAAGUAUGGAAUUGGACUAAUUUUGUGAUUAUAUUUUAUAUCAAAUUUGGUAAGCUUAAUUGAAUUGGACUAAGGGACUAAAUUUAAGUUUAAUCCUAAAAUUAUGGGAUUAAUAAUCCUAAUUUACACAUUCCUUUAGUUGGGACUUGGGAUAAGAUUAAAGAAAAAAGUUAUCCAUUUAUGAGACUUUAAUUUAUGUCAUUAUUUUUUUAUUUAUACUUUAAUAUUAAUUAAUUUAUUAAUUUAUUUUUAAUUUAUGAUUUUACUUAAAAUUUAUUUUUAUUUAUUAUCUAUUAUCUGGUUAAAUUAGAACUUUACUUCUACUAACUCUUGCGAUUAAUUUUUCAUUACUUGCGUAUUUGAUAAUUUGCCAAUAAAAUUAACCAUUUAAUAAUUUCUUGCAUUAUUUGAUUGUAUUAAAUUUAAUAAUCACUAAUAUAAUAUUAAAAAUAAUCAUGAAAAUUAAUAAUACCUUCAAUUAAUUGAUUUUUAUAUACUUUUUUAAAUAUUUGAUAAGAAGUUGAUAAAAAUUAAUUAAGGAUUUAAAAUUUUAUUCAUUUUUUAUUUAUUUAUUUUAUCAUGAAUACCCAGUAUCUUACAAUAUAAUUAAUUUUCUUAUUCAGACUACUCAGCAUCAGCUCCUGUAAAAUUUCUUACAUUAUAAGCAACAAAAUAUUUAUAAACUACAACAAAAGGCUUAGAUCAAUCCACCGAUGAACCUUUUGAAGUUAUAUAUAAUAUAUUAAUUGUUGAUCUAGAAUAGUCUUAGUGGAUAGAUUUUUUUUAAUUAUAAAUAUUAAUAAAUUUUUUAUCGUUUAAUAGAUAUUGAUGAAAUUAUAUGGAGUAAUUUCGCCUAAUCAUAUUAAUUCAUUAUGAAUUUCAGCACAAAUUUGUAUGUGAUCGAUCUGGACCGUGUAAGUGAAAUUUAUUUACUAUAUUUUUCAACUUGGCCGACAACAUCUUUUUGUCAGGUAGGCAAAAGCAAAAGCCAUUAUCUCAUUAAUUGAUUUGGUCAUUUGAGAAUGUAACUCUAUUAUGCCGUGACAAACUCCAAGAUCUAAUUUAGAGAGCGACCCAAAUAAUGGUAAUUAGUAAUUUAUUACAUCUGCAGUUAGAUAGAUACUUUGUCUGGGAAAAAAAUAAAAUCAGUUUUAUAAUGAUUUUAAUUAAUUCAUUUGGUCAUUUGAAAAAGUUGUGGCUCUGUUUUAGUCCAGUGUCAAUAUAUAACUUUAUUAUGUCAUGACAAACUUCAAAAUUUAAUUUAGAGUGUGACUCGAAUAAUUUUAAUUAGUAAUUUAUUAUAUCUACAGUCGGAUACUUUGUUGAGAAAAAAAAAAAUAAAAUCUGUCCCAUAAUGAUUUUAAUAAAUAUCAUACUAUUGUCUACGGACUUACCUCAUAUUACAAAGAAUUAAAAUAUGCGAAAGAUAACUAAGGAAUAAAAUUUUUCCACAAUGAUUUAUAAAAAUUGCUUUUGAAGAACGGUUAUGAUAUUAUAUUAAAUUACUAAGAAUUUAGUUAACCUCUCAAGAAGUCUAUUUGGUUGACUUCUCGAGUUUAAAAUUCGAAUGUCAAAAAAGAUAAAAGGUUAAAAAAAAUAUUUUAAAUAUUAUCCACCCUUUUACUAUUUUAAUAUACAAAAAGAAGAAUUACUUGUUUUUAACAAUAGCAACCGGGGGCAUAAUAUAUCUGAUGGAUUUUUUUAAGGAACAAAACUUAUUAUAUCUCCUAUCAAAAAUGUCAUUUUUGUUAGUAAAAGGAUAUCUAUAUCUCCAAAUUUUGGAAAAAUGGUUACCAGCGCUUCCAAGUCCUAAAUUUUCAAAAAGAGACACUAAAACUCAUUUUUUACUACAAUACCCUUUACUUUUAUUAUCCCAAAAGUUAACUUUAAUUUUUUUUUAUAAUAAAUAGAAAUAUAAUAUUAAAAUAAAUGUAUUAAAAUUUAAAUUAUUAUGAAAAAUAAUAAUUUUAAUAUUAUUAGUAUAUGAGACUUUUUUAAUUGUAAAAUGUAUUUAAUGCAAAUAUUUAUUUAAAAUCUCUAGAAUAAAUACAAAUAUAUUAUUAAAAUAAAUAUAAUAAUUUACAUAUUUAAAUUUAUUUUAAUAUUAUUAAUCUACUACAUAGAUUACAUUAUUUAUAUAAUAUUUGUGUUUACUAAAAAUUUGCAAGUUAAAUUUUUUCGGGAUACUAAAGGUAAAGAGUAUUAUGGUCAAAAGAGAGUCUUGAUGUCAUUUUUAGAAAACUUGGGGUGUUGGUGACUAUUUCUCCAAACCAUGGGGAUAUAGAUAUCCUUUUCUCUUUUUUAUUUUAAACAAGUGGUGACUAAAGAUUAAACUGUCAUAUAUUCACAAGAUAUUCACCACAAAAUUUGUAGGAAAUUUCUUCUUCCCUAAGCGGAAAAUACAAAACAAAAACAUAAUUGGCAAUUUCACUAGCAAAACUAAUAAUACUUUUGUUCCAUAUCCAGGGGUAGAGCUCGGGGUAAAUCUUCAUGACGCCCAAAUUCAAAUUUCAAGUGUUAGCUGGGAAUUAAUUUUAGACAAUUUUAUUUAUUUAUUUAUAGCUAGUAUGUAAUUGUUAGGUAUUUCAAAAUUUGAGAAUUUUGUGAUUCUGUGAGAAUGUUGAUUCAAGCAUGUUUGCAUUCUUCUUAUAAGUACCAUAGGAGAUAUUUAGUUUUUUACCCUCAAGUCAAUGUCAAUGUGAACGUUGUUUUGUGCUGCAAAUUAAAGGAGUCCCCACAGGAGUCACCGAUUUGCUUUGAGAAUUUUGAGAAUUAUGUUUUGCGAGUGAAAUUGCCAUUUUGUCAUAAUGGAAUUUUGCUUUCUGAUCAAUAAUUGAGAAUUUUGCUUGUAGCUACAGGCUGCAGCGAUUUUGAUUUGACGGCUUUGAUUCAUAAUUGAAGUUACUGUUGCAAGUAAAAACUAAAAAAAUUAACAAAAUAAAAAUCAAAGACUUAGGUCCAUGUUGCAAGUAAAAACUAAAAAAAUUAACAAAAUAAAAAUCAAAGACUUAGGUCCAUGUUUUAUCAAAAUUUUAAUAAAAGGCUAUUUGUCAUUUUGUCAUAAUGGAAAAAUGAUUAACAAAAUAAAAAAAUCGAAUUUACUUGAUUUUAUUUUACAAAAUAUAAAUUAAAUUUCUAUUAUAUGUAUAAAGUUUAUACAUCAAGUGCUUAGGGGUCAAAUCAAUCUUUUUAUACCUAAUUUUUAAUAUUUUACUUCGAAACCUCAAAAAUUUUUAAAGUUUGUUGGGUCACAAUCCCCGCUAGGAGUGGGCAAAUUUGUGUUCAUAUCAACUUGAAUAGGUUUUGGGUUGAUUAGGCUAGAACUGGAUCAGAUCAAAAAGUAUGAGAGAAAUUAAUUGAGCUUCUCCCAAGAAAAAUACAUACAGAUGAUUGAUAUAUAACCAUUAAAUAAUAAAUAUGUUAGACUUACAUUUAUUUUUUAGCCCUAAAAGUAUGAAAAAAUUAAUACUUUCCGAAUUUAUUUUUUGUACCGUAAAGAAUCAAAUUACUCACAAAAUUAUUUUUAACUUUCAUCAUGCAAACAAACAAAUCAUCAUCAAUUUCAAUAGAAAGAAGUAGAAUAUGAUGUAUUUAGGACUUCCUACUCUAUUAGCUAGGUUAAUAACAUGUUAAUUGUCACAUCAUUAAUUUUAGAUUAUAAAUUUUAUAUUCAAACUUUGUAUGACUGCUCCUUUUUCAAUGAUCUAAUGUUAGAGUGCAAUUUAUGCACUAGUUUUGCAUUGUUUACUUCCUUUAAUAUUGAUAUUUUACACUUAAUAAUAGUGAUUUACUUGUAUUUUAUUUUUGUAGGUGCAAUUCUAUUGAUUGGUGCUAAAAUUGAGAUACAAGAUGAUGUUUAAGGAUGGUUGUUCUCUUGGAUAAAUUAUGAGUGUCAGAAGAACUUUGUUGAUAAGGCGUGGGCGCGUGCUGUCAACUACGGACCUGCAGUUUUUAGUUUAAUGUGUUUUGUAUUUUUGGUUAUUUUUGUAAUUAUGAAUUUAAUGUUUCAGAUAUUAGUAUUUUAUUUUAAAUAGAACUCUAGAGGAGAAGAGAGGGAGAGUAUUUAAGGGAGGAAUCUAUUGUGAAAAAUGUGAGAGAUUGGAGAAAAAGAAAGAAACCCUAGAUCUAAACUUUUCUCUUCUCUCUAUGAAGAACUAAACCUAUUUUUCUAGUUGAAGGUUAAUGAAGCUUUGAUUCAUCACUACUGUGAGAUCUUUCUUAUGCUUUAAUUGUUUUAUUGCUUUUUGGGUAUUUGUUUAUUUUUUGAAUUAUUUUCAUGAUUAUGUUUGUUAAUUAGGUAAUUGGACACUAUUUAAUUAUCAACUUAAUCUAUUGUCAAUUCAAUGAUUCAUCGUAUGAAGAUUUUAAUGUUUGUGACAAAUAACAUAGCAGUGAGUUGUAUUAUGAGAAUAAACAAUCUAAUUUAAAUGAACCAUCGUAUGUGUUUGUUGAUUAGGAUUUGGGUCUCUCUGGUUUUUCAGGCUGUCAAUUGAUAUAAUCUUAUGAUUGUAUUUAGGGUUGUCUAUUGAUUAGGGAAAUAACCAACGGUCGUACCUUGGUUAUCGACUAGUUAAGGAGAGAUUGGCUAUUAGAGGGUCUCAGUAGCUAUAACCGGUGUAUUCAUAAGUAGUAAUAAUUUAUAUUUGAAUCAAUGAUUAGUAGUCGAAUCAAGCUCAGUUAAUUCCUUCAACCAAAGCUUUCUCCAAUUUGAAUUACAACUUUAAUUUGCAUUCUAGUUAUUUUAAUUUGAUUUCUAUUAUUGUCAACAACUCCCCCAUUUUACGUUUUACAUUUUAAAAGGAUUUAAAUAAUUACCGAUCUCUGUGAACACGACCCUGCUCAAUCAUUAUACAUAAUUUAUUUAGAGUAUGUAUUUAUUUUUGCUGUCUUCGACAAUCAUCAAAUUUUGGCGCCGUUGCCGGGGAUUGGUGUCGUUUAUUUAAUCCUUUUUACAUUUUACUUGGUGUAUGGUUCAUUCUUCUCGUACAGGUACACUUUCGUUUGAUCCUGAAAUUGAGAAGACAGCUCGCCAGCUGAGACAGCAGACGAAGCAAGCUAAGCAACGAUUCUCGUCGCCUUUGCUUUUUGAAACAGAUACAGUGUCUGAUUUGAUUGAAUCAUCUAGCGAUUCAGAAGAACAAGUGAUGGAUAGAGCUGCACCUGUAGAAAGAACUCUUAAAGAGUUAGCUGAACCAGACUUGAAUCAGCAACCACUCUGCAUUCAAUAUGUAGACUUGGAGGUAAAUUUUGAAUUAAAGUCUGGUCUUAUUAAUUUAUUACCCAAGUUUCAUGGUUUUGCAGGUGAAGAUCAUCAUAAACAUCUCAAGGAGUUUCAUGUUGUGUGCUCAAGUAUGAGGCCACAAGGCGUGACUGAAGAGCAGAUUAAGCUGUGUGCUUUUCCGUUCUCUGCAGAUGGGCUAGCUAAAGACUCGUUGUACUACUUGCCUCCUGGAUUGAGUACAACGUGGAAUGGUUUGAAGAAGCAGUUCCUUGAGAAGUACUUUCCUGCUUCAAGAGCUGCCAACAUCAGAAAAGAUAUUUGUGGGAUCAGACAACUUCCUGGGGAGAUUUUGUAUGAGUAUUGGGAGUGAUUCAAACAAUUGUGUGCCAGCUGUCCUCAGCAUCAGAUUUCUGAUCAACUUCUUAUUCAAUAUUUUUACGAAGGACUGUCAUUGAUGGAUAGGAGUAUGAUAGAUGCUGCUAGUGGAGGCGUGUUGGUGAACAAGACCCCUACUCAAGUAAGGGAGUUGAUCUCAAAUAUGGCUGCCAAUGCACAACAAUUUAGCAGCAGGCAAGAUCCCACUUCAAAGAAGGUGAAUGAGGUAAAUAUUUCUUCUGUUGAACAACGUUCAGAUAAACUUACUUCUCUUGUGGAAAAGUUUGUUUUAGGUAAUGUACAAUAGGUGAAGACUUGUGGCAUCUGUUACAAUAUGGGUCAUUCAACUGAUAUAUGUCCUACGCUUCAAGAAGAACCCGUUGAACAAGCCAAUGUAGUUGGAGGAUUUCCAGGCAAGCCUCAGAAGAGGUAUGAUCCUUAUGCACAAACAUACAAUUCAGGGUGGAAGGAUCAUCCCAACUUCAACUAUGGAGUUAGGCCGUCAGGAUUCCCACAACAGUAUCCACCAAGACAACCAGCACCUCCACAGUCAAACUCCAAGUCAGGUAUAUCUCUUGAAGAAAUUGUUAAAUCACUUGCAACUAACACUCAACAAUUUCAGCAGGCAACUACAGCAAGCAUUCAGAAUUUGGAGAACCAAAUGAGUCAAUUGGCCACUACAAUGAGCCGUCUGGAGUUUCAAGUAUUAGGGAGAUUGCCUUCACAAUCUGAGGUAAAUUUAAAGCAAAACGUUAGUACUGUCAUCCUUAGAAGUGGGAAGGAGUUACAAGAGCCUAGUAAGAAAGUGACAAAGCAUGUAGAAGAUGAGCUUGAGAAGAAUGAAUUGAUGCCUAAAUCUCAAGAUGCGCAACCCACCAAAGCGAAACCCCUACCUAUUGUGAUACCUCCUCAUUUUCUAAGCCGGUUUGUAAAAUCCAAGAAGGAGGAACAAGAGAAAGACAUCCUUGAGACAUUUCGCAAGGUUGAGGUAAAUAUUCCUUUAUUAGAUGCUAUAAAACAAAUACCUCGAUAUGCUAAAGUUCUUAAGGAACUGUGCACCUCCAAGAGAAAAUUAAGAGGAGAUGAAAAAGUUCACAUGGGGGAGAAUGUUUCAGCAGUUCUCCAAAAGAAAGUACCUCCUAAGUGCAUGGAUCCAGGUAUGUUUACUAUCCCUUGUAAAAUUGGUAGUGUUAGAGUUGAAAAUGCUAUGUUAGAUCUAGGAGCUUCUAUUAAUGUCAUGCCUCGUUCCAUUUAUUCAUCUUUGAAUGUUGGUCCAUUGAAAAAAACUGGCAUGAUAAUUCAACUAGCUGAUAGGUCUAAUGCAUAUCCUGAUGGGGUAUUAGAAGAUGUCUUAGUACAAGUUCAUGAGUUGGUUUUUCCUGUUGAUUUUUAUGUACUUGAUAUGGAAGAGGAUAACUCCUCUAAUUCUUUCCCAAUUUUGCUAGGAAGACCUUUUCUUAACACUACUAGGACUAAAAUGGAUGUACAUAAAGAGACUCUCACUAUGGAGUUUGAUGGAGAGGUUAUAGAAUUCAAUAUGAAUGAUGCCAUGAAAUAUCCUAAUGAGAAACAUUCGGCAUUUUCUGUGGAUGUUAUUAACCCUAUAAUGCAGGAAGUUUUUUACAAGGAAAAGACGAAGAAAUUUCAUGAUAGAAUGAUUUUGAGAAAGGAGCUCUCUGUUGGUCAAAAAGUUCUUUUUUAUUCUAAGCUUAAACUUUUUCCGGGUAAAUUACGUUCUUGCUGGGUUGGACCUUUUAUUAUUACUAAUGUUUUUCUUCAUAGUGCAGUUGAGAUUCGGAGUCCGACCUCUGACAAAGUUUUUAAGGUUAAUGGUCAUCGGUUAAAACCUUUUUAUAAAGGUUUUUCGGUGAAUAUUGUGGAGGAUAUGGCUCUCAAGAGUCCCAAUUAUGGAGAUUGAUGCAUAAAUGUGUCUAACCAAAGACAUAAAACAAAGGCGCUUUUUGGGAGGCAACCCAAAUGAUUUAUUUAUUUUGGUUUUUGUUAUAUCUUCUUUUCAUUUUGAUUCAGAUUUUUUAAAAAAAAUAACGUGUUUGCUUAUUUUGGCCAGAAGAAAAUGUUUGAUAAGGCGUGCCCACAUCUUAACUAAUAAGUACUUCUGUGAUUUUUAACGUAAAAUGGUUUUAAGGCGUGCGCACGUGCUUAUUAAAAAAGUACUUCUGAAAUUUUUAGUGUCUCAAGUGAUACAUCACUAAAAAAAAAAUUAUUUUAUUUAUUUAUUUAUUUGAAAAUUAAAAAAAUAAAAAAAGUUUUUUUUUCUUUUCUUUCUUUUAUAUUUUUAUUUAUUUGAAAAAAAUUUAAAAAAUGAAAAAAUAAAAAAAAGUUUUUUCUUUUUUUCUUUUAUAUAUUUUAUUUAUUUAUUUAUUUGAAAAAAAAUUUAAAAAAUAAAAAAAUUUUACUGUUCACAAAAUCCCUAAUUCACAGAAUUAGUGUUCUUCUCCAGCCGCUCCAGCCUUCACCGAGCAGCCACGCAGCACCAGCUCCAUCCCCAGCGCGCAGCAUCAUCCCCAGCCAGCGCGCAAGCAACCAGCCCCAACCCGCGCAGCACAACCAUCUGCGAAUAACCUGAACCAACAGCCGUGUACCUGCAAGCUCCAGCCGAGCAGCAACCAUCCGCAGCCGGCCUACGCCCUGCAUUCUAGCCGCGUGAAUCAAAAUCCGUGAGUUCAAUUAUUGUAACAAUGCCGAAGAGGAAAGCAUCAACUUCCAAGUCAUCUAAAAAGACACUCGUCGCAAAGAAAUCCAAGAUUUCCGCUCCCACUACGGUUCCAUGGAACACAGUUUUAGAUUCACGCCAAGCCGUGAGAUAAAGAUCGAAACAUGGAAAAGGCAUGAGUGUUUUGCCACUUGCGGAAUCCAAUCUCAGAGGGUGCCUCACAUUCACGACUCAACAAGAGAAAGAAAUGUACAAAGAUAUUUCCAAGCGAAAAAUACUUCCAGCUAAGUAUAUUCAUUACCCGACUCUUGAAAAAUUGAAUGUCAAGAAUAGUUUUGAUUCUUUGAUAGAUAAGAUUGGUUUGCGUAAGUUUGUUGAUGUUGAUUGUUUGGGUUAUGUUGAGUUGAUUAGGGAGUUCUAUGCUACUUUUCAAUUUAAUAUACUGAAUGAUUUUACUUUGCAUACCUCAGAUGUUAUAAAGUUUAGGUUAAUGGGACGAAAUUUUUCACACUCUAUCACGGAUUUUAACCUAGUUUUAGGAUUCAUUGAUGAUGAUUAUUCUUCUAGUGAUGUAUAUUUAGGGACAACUUGUGACUUUAGCGAAAAUUUUGAGCCUUAUGGUCUUUGGCGUAAUUUAUCUGUUGAUCACAAUGCCUAUGACCCAAGUAAAUCAAAGAGUUCUUUCUUACGUGAUCCUGUUUUGAAAUGUAUGCAUCGGUUCUUAGCAUAUAAUUUUUUAGGAAAGAAAGAUCACUCAAGAGUUUUCUCUAAAACUGAGUUUUGUUUUAUCUGGUGCAUAUUAAAUGAUGUGAGGCCUAACUUAGGUUUUUGGUUAGCAGAUCAAUUUCAAAGUGUGCUUAAACGGUAUAGGACUUUAUUUCUUGGUUCAUACAUUACUCUGUUAGUUAUAAACUUAUGUGUGCUUGAUCAUGACAACAAUGAUUUAUAUCCUGCUUGCAAAAAGAAAUUUUUGGAUAUGUCUGUGUUUGAAAGAACAGGUGUGGUCGAAUUCAAGGAGGGGAAAUUUCAGUUUACUGAACCAGGACCCACCCAACUUCCAAAGAAGUUUUAUACUAGGAGUGGUGCUACCUCUGAUGACGAGUUUGACGACGAAACUGCGGCCCCACCAACUAUUCCUUUUACAUCCGCACAACCUUUGAGCAUUCAGUUAGAGAAAAUGGAGCACAAGCUGAACAAGAUGGAGCAGAAUUUGGCCUCAUACUUCGAGAGUGUGGGAUUUAUCCCACCAUUUCCACUAAGCCCAUAGACGUUAUGAGGAUCAAAGCUCACAAUUCAGGAAAGUUUUCGCCUUUAAUCUUUUAUCCUUACGCUUUAAUUUUUAUGUGAGCUUUGAUUAUCUUACAUUGGGGACAAUGUAAGUGUCUGUCAAUGACAAAUUUAACCCACUACCACCAUUCAUAAUUAACCAAAAUCAAAUAAAUUAAAAAAGAAAACACAAAACAAGGAUAACUACUAGUUGUUUUGAUCAUCCUUGCUUCUUUUUCUUAGCAUAGCUCUUGUAAUGAAAAUUAACAAAAAGGGCCAAAAGGGAAGCAUUAAACACAGUAUUGAAGCACCAACCCCAAAACCCAGGGAAACCAAAUCCCGUGAAAUGAUAAUUCAGCAUCAAAAUGAAAAAUGUUAUGGAUGGCUGUGAUGGGUCUGAGGAUGUGGGGUCCAAUGAGAGGUGAUGAUGAUGGUGAUGUUGAUGUUGAUGUGUGGUAGAGGAUGGAUGUGAGGGAGAGGUAAGUAAUGAUGGAGUGAAUGAGGAUGUGUGGGAAGAAAGCUAGGGUUUGGUCUUGAGUCCACGUGAAGUUGAAGACUUGUGGGUGGCUUACAAGCAAUAAUGGAGUGUUAAGCUGAUUGAAUUUGAAGCCAUGGCUGGUUUUGGGGGAAGAUUGAUUUGGGAGAGAUGAUGGUCAGAGGAAUGGGGGAGUUUAGAAAGUUUGGGAUAUUGUGACGGGUGUUUUAGGCAUAUUUUUUCGUCUUAGCUUAAAUUUUUGUUAAAAAAAUGAUAAAUUCUUUUCUCAUAUCAAUUUAAAACUCCGAGUAUGUUUCCAAUUCUUCUUCUAUAGUGUCUAGACCUUUGUUUCAACGGCAUCUUUGGACGCGGGUUUCUUCUUUUUUGGUUAUUUCUUCUCAAACUUGUGCAGAUUACAUGCACUCAACGUGGAACCCUUUUGAAUGGAAGUUACUGUUUUGCUGGAAUCGGGACCAAUUUUUUGACAAAAAUUUCGCUAUAAAAUAUACAAUUAAAGUCGAGUAAGAUUAAGUAAAGUAACAUCUUGUAUGGUAAAGUACAUCGAGUAAGGAUUUCUAUAAUCGAGCUAGAAAGUAUAAUUAAAAUUAGAUAAGAGUGCCGCGGAGCAUUGUUUUAAAGUUACAGUAUCAAAGUAUUUAAUAAAUAUUUAUUAUUGUGACUUAAAAAUUAAGUUGGGAGUACAAAAAAAUCAAUAAUACAUUUAUUAAUUUUGUCAAAAUUAUUAUUUAAAAAUCAUAUAUACAAUACAAGAUCAACAAUUAUAUUAUAGCUUCAGUUCCUUUUUCACAAUAACUAUAACUACAACACGGUAGUACUAAAUAGGAAGUCGAGUAUGAUCAAGUAAUUACAUGUUAUGGUUUUUUGGUAUUACAUGAUUCUUCAAACUGAAAUUUGCGAUCAAAAUUGUAUCAAAGAAAUCACAGAGACACUCUGUUUGACAAAUCUGCAGUAGAAUUUGCACAAUUUAACUGGAUUGCAGAGAGUGAAUAAGAUUCCAAAGCAACAGGCAAUUAUUGUUAUUAAGAAAACAAUUCAUCGCUAGAACAAAAUUAACUUUUCUAACAUACUAGAAUUUAACUGGAGAAAAAUUGGAAUAUACGACGUUGUAUCACAUAUAGUAUUUAGACAUCAAGAAAAGAAUCCCUCUAUUAGUGAACUAUACUUGCCAGGAAACACGGUGAAAUACCACUACCUCCCUACUAGAUUAAUGCAGCAAAAUUGGGCAAUUGACUUGAUUAACUCCAAGAAAUUUACGCAGUCACAUUCUUCCGGACUAUCCUCUUUCUUCGCACUUUAGGAGCUGUUGUUUCCCCUUACAGAGUCGACAUUCCCUUGUUUGAUGCCAAGGAGCCCAAGCCCAGAGCCAAUGGCAUUCUUUGGUAUCAACCACUUUGGGAACUUUUGAGUUGAGCCAUUGACAUCCUGAGACGGCCUGUUGUGAGCCUUCUUCAAAAGGUCAUCUGACUGAAGUAGCGGAUCCGCUUCCACUCCUAGCCAAGCAAGCCUUGAUCUUUCUCCUAAUUGGACAUUAAGAACCCUGCAUGGAAUCCAUUUGAGAAGUUGAACAAUAGACAAAGUCCAACACAUAUAGGCAGUAAAGAAGAAUUUGGACAGCAAUUACUGACUGUUUAUGCACAGGGCUGAACAAAUGGGAAUAUUAAGGCACUUAAAAGUUGGAACCAUAUUCACCACUUGUAUUUCCUCAGAGAACUAUCUCAGAGUUCUGUUAAUUUAAAACCAUUCUAACGUAUUUAACUACAAAACUAGAGAAAUCGUACUUCUGUAGCGGAGUCUCACUAUUGUUAAGGAUCUAGACUUGGAAAGUAUGCAAGUUGAUUAGGUAAAGAAAAAUUGAAAUAAUACUUGGUGAUAGAUCAACACACUUCAAUAGAAACCACACUAACAUCAUAUCAGACAAAUAAACAGAUUCCCCGAGUCAAAGUUUAACAAACAAAACAUUAAAACAAGGAUAAUUUGGUACGACCAGAAUAGUCUAUCAAUGUAUAUAGAGAGGGAGAGACCUCAAAGCAGCGCUUAAGAACAGUGCUACUCCAAUAACAUCAAUAUGGUUGAUGACCGCUCUAUCAAAUCCAUUGGAAAUCGUAUACUUAUAAUUUUUUUUUUCAAACUUUGUCUAAAAUAAAUGAAUGAGAUAAGAUAAAUUCGAAUAAAUUAAUCUGCAUAAUGACACAAGAAACAAAUGUAAAUUGACCACAAGUAGAAAUAUACUUUUGUUAUCUUCCAAUUUCUUUCCCUUGAGCUCUGUUUCUGCGAGUGCUCAAAAGCAAGACACGGGCCUUGUUAAGAGUAUAGCUGAAGCUGGUGACGUGUAUAAGCUGCUGAUGAAGCUGCUGAGCUGGCUGGCUAGUGAUGUGUAUAAAUUGAAGGUGCUGAGCUGGAUUGGGUUGUUGUUUACACCAACUAAAGCUGUAACAGAUUAUCCAGCUGGCUUGUUAUGAUUGGAAAUUAGAUUAGUUUGUUAAUACAGCAAACGAUUAGCUCUGUUUUAGUAGUUAGCCUUGAAUGUAACUAUAAAUACUGGCUAACACGUUUUCAGUGUUAAGCUUGAGUUUUAAUCAAUAAAAAUCAAUUCAGUUAAAGUUUCUUUGUUAAUUUUCUUUCACUUUCUCACUUGCCAAACAACCUAUUAAUUCUAAAAGGCCUCAAGAUAUAAUUAUCAUCAUCAAUCUUUUGCAGCCACAUGCAGUACUUGGAAAAUGUUUAUGGCCCUAAAUAACUGGAAAAUCAGAAAACAUUAAGAACAAGAGACUAAUCAUUUUAAUCGCAACAAAACAUGCACACUAUGAAAAUAUAAAAUUGAAUUACUUCGAAUGGAUGUGCCUCUUAACAGGAAUUGCACAAGCUAAUGAGCAAGUGAGCCUUGAACAGUUAUCACUCAACUCAAACUAAAAUGAAAUUACUGUGGACAUGUGAAUUAAAAAUAGAUGUAAAAGUAGUUUUCUCAAAGCAAAGUCAAGAUAAGAGAUUAACUCUGCUCCGUAAUUACAUUAAAAAUAACAAACAAUGAAAAACAGAGCUAGAGAAGAACUUACCUGUGCGUUGAGACCAUGUGGGGAAUGUGAGAUAUCUUCUUAGAUUUGGUUUGAGAAACCCUGCCAAUUAAAAUUUCGGUCCCCAUGUAGCAGAAUUUCUUAUUUUUCCUUUGUACACAAAUGCAGACACUUAAGCAAAUUAAGAUUUCUUAUCUAAAGCAAAUUAGGAUUUCUUUUGACCCUGCAAAUUACAAUUUCAGUCCCCAUGUAAUAGGAAAAUUUUGUACACAUAUUUAUAGCAAAUUAAUAUUUCAUACCUCACAAUAUUUAUCAGAACCAUCAAUCUUUAGAAACCACAUGCAGACUUGGUAAACUGUUUAUGGCCCAAAAUAACAGGAAAAUUAGAACAGAUUUUUAAGAAUGAGCGACUAAAUAUUUCAAUGGCAACUAAAAUUACACAUCUUGGAAAUCUGAAACUCAAGUACUCAGAACACUGUUAGUGCAUUGCAUAAGUCAAUUGCAUAAUCUUGGGUAAAAAUUACGCAGCAAUUAAACAAGCUGGGAACUUUAGUGCAAAUGCUUUUUCAUAAUCUUCAAUUGCAUAAGUCAGUUAGAAUCAAUCUUUCUUAAUCUUUCAAUUCACAUAUGAGAGCCUGAUAACACAAGGAAACACUGUAAGUGAAUUGUCAACUGUGACAAAUUUUGGGUAAAAAUUAUCAACUGUAGUUAUCUGCAUAACAUUUAGUGUCAACCCCAAAUUCCUUACUGAUCCGUGGAAGCAUUUCAGCCCACAGACGGUUAGCUUUGUCAAUAUACGGCAACUCAGGAUUCUAUAUUUAAACUAUGAUGUUUGAUGACUUGCUGAUACAAAAGACAUUGCCCCAAGCACUUUUUUACAUUAGCUAAAAUCAAGCCAAUCACUUCCAUUUGUUGCAGUUUUAAUGCAGAAAGAAAAAGGUGGGGAAAAAAUCUGCAAGAUGCCACUUGUAAUACCGCAUGUUCGCAGAAGCAGAGUUAAAUAAUUACAAAAUUACAUUCUUUAUGAAAGCUUGCGAUUAUUGGGAGAGCUCUACUCAAAUUUAAUGAGAUAUCUCUCAGAAGGGAGAGCUCUAAUAAUAUAUAAAGCCAAAAAUCUAACACUCAUCAAAUUGGCUUGUGAACAAUUAAUCUUCCUUGCCAUCAUAAAUGCCAGGUGUGGUGAACAAUCUUCAUUCUGACAUUUGCCUUAAUAAGCUGCUUAGUAUCCUUAACCUGAUAACUUACACAAACAAAAACAACUUCACUAAAGUUUAUUCUUUAAAGGCAAAACAGUAAACCAGAUGAUGUAUGCUGAUACAAAAAAUUGACCUGAGUUAUCCUGAUGUCAAGAAUCACAGAACCUCACGUGGGCAAAAUCAUCGCAAUACAAGAUGCUGAAUUCAAGCAACAUCUUAUCACCUGUAAUUUAAUUAAGACAAUAACUUUCCUCAACUAUUAGCCUUCUCAAUUUCAAUGUAUUAUUGGCAACUAAAUUCAUAGGGGACGCAGCUAAUUAAAUGCCCUUUUAACAAUAUCUUCCCCACCUAACAAUUAUUUGGAAAAUCUAAAUGACAAUCAUGCAUUGAUGGCAUAAAAUAUUGGCCACAAAGCUGCCUACAAAAAGGCUUUAAAUUCUUAAUGAGACAACGUAUUCGAACAAAUAUGGUGAAUGAAGAGACAAAGCAUAACACCUCAAGAAGUAAAGCUCUGUUUCUGUAUAUGCUCAAACCAAUGGAAACCCAUGGAAAUGGAUUUCUACGAAUUAGACAUGUCAGCCAAAACAGGUACUCUGUACAGGCAAAGUAAAAGAGAGUUACAAAAAAUUUUAAGAUAAUUAAACUUUUAAUAACCAUAUAAUUAAUAGAAAACUUUGUACACAAUGAUUUAUAUGAGAUUAAGAUUGUAUACCUAAGUUUUAAUUGCAAACUAAAUAUACACAACAUGAUAUUAGCAUUAGAAGACUGCACCAAAACGUACCGAAUUGAAUGUACCUUUUAACGGCCAUUGUACAUGCAUUGAAAGUUUACCGCAAAAUCUGUUUCAAACGUGAUGCAUCUUAGAGAUGCAAGAUGAGAAAUUGUUAGUACAACUAGCAUUGAAACAUGUGUGAAAACUGUUAAUGGACCUAAAUAACUUGAAAAUCAGAAAAGAUUAGGAAUGAGUGACUAAGCCUGCUAAUCACAACUAAUCCAAAACUGUUAAUGGACCUAAAUAAUAGUGUUAAUACCGAAUUCCUUCCUCCAUGGAAGCAUAUGAUCAGCCCACAUGUGCUUUGCUCUGUAGCUUUUGAGUACCUGAAAUUGUUAUUACAACCAGCGGUGAAAAUUGGGUGAAAAAAUGGUAAUGUUAGCAUAAUUGAAUUUGCUUAUAGAGGAUAAACCGAUCAAAGAAAAAAACAAGAUAGAAAUGAUUAUCUUAGUACCUUAAUAUCAUGCAAUAAAAAUCACCAUGCCUUCCAGGCAGCUGUCCAUCCUCAAUUGAAACAGAGCAGACCUGGCCAUCACUUUCUUCUUCAAAGUCCAGCAACGGAACGUUGCACACAACACCACAGUGGAAGUAGUUCCAUCACCAGCCUAAUCCUUGAUUACCCCAAUGUUCUCCAUAGGGUCUUCAAAGUCAACCUAAAAAUAAAAUGAAAAUGCAAUGCAUUAUUAUUAGGGAUCUAGUGCUUGAGCUUGCUUUGACAUCAUGGUAUUAGCAAAUUCUGAUAUAGCCAAAAUGGUGAAUAAGAUGAUGUACUUGAUAAGAAAAACCUGAUUUAACAAAUAAUUAAGAAGCCGGUAACAAUCACAUAAUCUCAUCAUGUGGGGAAUGCCUUGGUAACAGAAGAUGGUGCUUUCAUUCAAGCAAUAGCAACUUUCCAAUUUCAUAAGGUAGUUUAAUGGCCCUUUUAAGAACAUCUGUACCAGCCUAACAAUUAUUCAUGGAAAUUAAAAUUCAGAAUCAUAUUAGAUUGAGAGAUGAAAUAUAAUAAGCGAUUUGGCCACCAUAUAUGCAUUUAUCACCUUCAAUUUGCUCAUCUUUGUCUAGAGUAUUGCUUCUGCAUUAACUUAAUUAGCUUGCAAGCCACCUACAAAUGGUUUUAAAUAAUGUGUGAGAGUGUGAAUUCGAACGAAUUAAUCAAAUAUGCUGACAGGAGAAACAAAAGUAAAUAACCACAAGAAGUAGAAAUAUACUUUUGUUAUAUUCAGAGCAUCUUCUUGCGUCAAGUUCUUUUCCUUUAGCUCUGUUUCUGUUUGUGCUCAAACGCAAUGGCUCAAGGGUCAAGAUAAUUUUAUGACCAUCAAUCUUUUUGCAGCCACAUGCAGACUUGAAAAACAGGUCGUGGCCCUAAGGAACUUGAAAAUUAGAAAAGAUUCAGAAUGAGUGACUAAAUAUUAUAAUCGAAACUAAUUAAACAUACACGCCUAGAAAAUCUGAAACUGAACUUCUCAAAUGUAUAUGCCUCUUCGCAGCAAUUGCUUGUGGUGGAACUUUACUGCAAGGACUUUCUCAAACCCUUGAAGAUCACACUCUACCUGAUAACAAAGAAACAUAGUCAAUAUACGAAGAUGAUUUUACUAACAAGUGAGUGCUUACACAUAUUGGAAGGAUAAUGAUUACUCAUAACCCAAAUCCCCAACACUCCCUAAUAUCUCACUCAAGUGAGUUCGAGCCCCCAGAAUUCACUACUGUGAAACUCUUACAACAAAAUUCCCUUCAAAGAUUCUCUACUCAAAUUUGAUGAUGAUGUCCCUCGAAAGGAGGCAAAAAAUCUAACACUGAUCAAAUUGGCUUGUGAACAAUUAAUCUUCCUGCGAUCAUGCAUACCAGGUGUGGUGAGCAAUCUUCAUUCUGACAUUUGCCUUAAUAAGCGGCUUAGUAUCCUUAACUUGAUAACUUACACAAACAAAAACAACUUGAUUAAAGUUUAAUAUUUAGAGGCAGAACAGUAAAGAAGAUGAUAUAUAUUGAUACUAAAAUUUGACCUGUGUUAUCCUGACGUCAAGAAUCACAGCAUCUCAUGUGGGCAGAAUCUUUGCAGUACAAGAUGCUUGCAAAAUUGAAGCAGCAUCUUAUCACCUGUAAUUUAAUUAAGACAAUAACUUUCCCCAACCAUUUCAAUGCAUUAUUGCCAACUAAAUUCAGAGGGUGCUAAUUAAAUAGCCUUUGAACAAUAUAUUCUAAUUCUUCUCCAAUCUAACAAUUAUUUGGAAAAUCUAAAUUACAAUCAUGCAUCGAUGGCAUCAAAAUUUGGCUACAAAGCAGCCUGGAAAAGGCUUUACUCUCUGAAUGAGAGCAUGAAUGAAGAAACAAAUAUCAUGAAUGAAGAAACAAAGGCAUAAUACCACAAAAAAUAAAACUUUUUCCCAGGCUCUCUGUUUCUGUUUGAACUAAAACCAAUGGAAACCGAUGGAAAUGAAUUUCUAGGAAUUAGACAUAUCAGCCAAAACAGUUACUCUGUACAAGCAAAGUAAAAUAGGGUUACAAAAAAUUUUAAGAUUGAUAUGAUAAUUAAAAUUUCAGUCACCAUAUAAUUAAUAGAAAACUUUGGACACAAUGAUUUAUUGCAUAUUAAAUCAAAUUUGUGGAAAUUAUCGGCUGUAGUUACCUGGACAAUAUUGCCAACACCAAACUCCUUCCUCAAUUGAAACCUACGAUCAGCCCACAAAUGCUUUGCUUUGUAGCUUUUUAGAGCCUGAAAUUGUUAUCACAACCAACAGUGAAAAUUGGGUGAAAAAAUUGAUAAUAUUAGCUUAAUUCCAUAUGUUUAUAUAGGAUAAACCGAUCAAAGAAUGAAAAAAGAUAGAAACAGAGCAGACCCAGCCAUCACUUUCUUCUUCAAAGUCGCACAAUAACCACAGUGGUAGUCGUUCCACUGCCAGCCUAAUCCUUGGUCACCCCAAUGUUCACCUUGAAGUAUUCAAAGUCAACCUAAAAAUAAAUAAAAAUGCAAUGCAGGUGGAAAUAAAAAUUCUAUAAAUAAAAUAAAAUAAAAAUGCAAUGCUUGAGCUUGAGCUUGCUUUAGCAUCAUCGUAAUAGUAAAUUUUGAUAUAUCUUUACUUCUCUGUUCUUGUUUAUUCACAACAAGAUAUCAAUAGAAGAAGAUGGAAAUGAAAUUCUAUAAAAUAAAGCAAGUGAAUUACCAGCAGAACAUUUUAGCAAUCCUUUGGCUAAACUUUUCAUUUUCUUUGCAAACUCUCCUGCCUGCAUCAUUAAAACCAAAUUACACAAUUACUUUAAAGUGGGCUAAUCAAACAAGUAUGAAAUAAAACAAAGUGGGCUAAUGUACUACUAAAAACAAUUACACAAUUACUUUAAAGAAUUAAUGUCACGUAUAUUAUCACUAUACAAGAUAAAAUUGAUAAUUUAGUUUUCAACAUUACUGCAAACGUAUCACAGAGAUUUUGUUACACAUAACAAAUUUUCGUACAUUAAAAAAUAAAUUACAUUGCAUGAAAUUUUACAAAAGAGCACAUAUUUUUUAAAAACAAAUAAAUAUAGAAAUUUCAACAGACUACACUUGUAUUUUUUUUUAUUUAAUCUUUAGAAAACAAGUUUAACAGAUUUGAUAACUAGGAAGUUUUACGUAUUUAUACCAUGAUUGAUUCUAUACAGAAUUUUAAUUCAAAAUAUAAUUAUUUUUAUUAAUUUCAUUGCAAGCAACAACGAAGUAAAUCAGAGGAGCAGGAGAAAUUACCGGCGAGUGAUAAAUUACCGCGACCACUUGAUGUGGGGAAAGCGAGAUAUCUUAUGCCAGUCUUCUCCUUUCCCCUCUCUAUAACGGUUUUCCAGAAGAGGACAUUUGUCAAUAGUCAAUUCCUGCAGCGUCGACGUUCGAAGAAGGUAAUCCGGCAGCGCCUUCAAUUUGUUGCAAGAACGAACUUCCAAGGAAGAAAGACGUGGCAUGAUAGAGAUGUUUUCCCUCCUCGUAAUCCUGUAAUUCCACUCUUCCAAUUCUUCCAUUGCCCCAAUUAUGAGUGAUUUCAAUUUGGGGAAGGCAAUAACUGAUGGUGCUGAUGAAGAUGAAGACGGGCCAUCCUCACUGCUUUCUUCUAUUCCCAAAAACUCAUUACCCACUCUUUUUACACUUUUCAAGUGGAUGAUUACGAGUUUUUCCAGAGGCAAUUUUCCCAAAGGAGGCAAAUGCUCACACUUAACGCACGAGCGAAGAUAUAAAUUCCUUAGAUUGGUCAGUGAAGUCAACCAUUUGGGAAAAAUGUUGCGUCCAUAUAAUAUAAUCCCUAAUUUCUCUACACUCAAAGGCGGUUGUAAGGCUUUAAGAAGUUGUUCAUCUUUCUCUUUCUUCCUCCUCCUUUCUUCAUCUUCCCCAUCUACGACUCUACCAAACUCAAGACGCAAACGAAGGAGGUUUUGCUGAUUGUAAAGUUGUAAUCUCUCGACCUCAUCUAAACGGGACACAUUACCCAGCCCUUCAAUUCCACAUUCUCGAAGGAGUUGAAGAUUUUUCAGAGAUUCAAGCCUACAAGUAUUGCUACCAUCAACACCUCCACCCACCACAAACUUGUCUAAUGUUCGAAGACUGGUUAAUUUGGAAAUCCCUACUGGCAUGUAUUUCAACGAAUAAGUUUCAGCAUUCAGUAAACUCCUCAUGUUCUUUAACUUCCCAAUCCCCGCUGGCAAUUCUUUAAGAUUUCGGCACCGCCUAAUAUCUAGCUUUUGUAAAUUAUAUAAUUCACACAAAGUCUUAGGUAGUCUCUCUAUGCCUAAUUCAGACAAAUUAAGAUAUCUUAAAUGUAUCAAUUUUCCGACAUUUUUUGGAAUUUCUCUAAUCAAACUUGAGUGAAGACGAACAGGCGAGGAUGAUAGCCUUAUAACUAAUGAUUCCCUUAUAACUAAUGCCCUCAAACAUGCCAAUUUACUAAAUAACUUUCGAGUUUCUCUAAUCUUAUAUGUGUUUGGACAAAAACAUAGGCGCAACAGCCUUAUAACUAAUGCCCUUAAACAUUCUUUGCUACUACUAAAAGACGAAAGGAUGCUACUAAGAGACAGAUUGAAAUCACUUCUAUCAUAAAUUAAAAGGGUACGCAAUCUAUCAAGUCCACGAAUGGAUAUAGGAAAUGAAGUGCCUCUUUGAAAAUUUAACCCUAAGUGACGGACUUUGUCACCAAAAGAGUUUAUGACUGAGUCUUUGGUACCAUUAAUUUCUACCCACAAACAUUCUUUUCUACUUACAAAUUGGGCAAAAUCAUGUAUUAUGUCAUGCAUCUUGCAGCUCAUAAUAUCAUCAUCAUCAUCUUUUUUAAACUCUUGAAAGAAAGAGCGUGCUGCUAAAAUGUUGAAAUACUCUUCCCCAAUCAUCUCCAUCUCUUCGUCUUCUUCUGUAUUAAGAUAACCUUGAGCCAUCCAUAGUGAAAUUAGUUCCUCUUUAUUCAUAUUGUAGUUUUUUGGAAAGACAGCACAAUAUGAGAAACAUUGUUUUACCAUAGAAUUGGAGGGCAAAUCGUUAUAACUCAACAACAAAGGAGCUAAAAGACCUUGCCCAAUUGCUUCUACUUUCCACAUUUCACUCUCUAAAAUUCUUUGCCACUCUUUUACUGUACUUUUAGAGCGCAAGAGAUUCCCUAUUACCUUUGCAGCAAGAGGCAAGCCUUUGCACUUAUGUGCAAUUUUGCGCCCGAUUGGUUCUAAUUUUUCACGAUCCUCAAAGGACCUACGCAGAAAUGCCAUCUGCUUAAACAGUAACCAACAUUCCCCUUCUCCCAACUCCUUGACAGGGAUAAUAUCUAUUGAUCCCAACUGUAGUGCAACUGACCUAUCACGUGUGGUAAUUAGAAUUUUACUUUCAUGGUGGCCAUUCUUUAGACAAGAAAAGAAUGGGUCCCAUUUUUUGUAAUCUCCAUCCCACACAUCAUCUAAAACAAGAAAAAAUUUCUUCCCCGUAAUAUAUUCCUGAAUCUGUUUCAUAAGAGAUUCGAAUUCACUUAAACCAGAAGCUGACACGCCUAGACCUUCAAUGAUUGCUAUGGCGACCCUAAUCUCCUCAAAAGUGUCUGAUACACACACCCAUAUAACUUUUUCAAAAUUUCUUUUCACCUCAUCAUUAUUAUAGGCCAGUUGUGCUAGAGUGGUUUUACCUAUACCCCCUAACCCAACUAGUGAGAUGACAUGAAGGCCUUCUUGUUGUUCACUACUUUCACACAACAGCUUGCUUAAGAGCUCAUUUUUCUCAUCAACUCUACCACAAACCUCUCUCUCAUCAAUCAAGGGGAUGGCUCGCACUCGCUCUGGUUUCUUAACAUUGUUGCUCACAUUCUCAACAAAUUUAAACCUAUCUUUUUGGGAGGCAAUAUCAUCUAGCUUUCCAUUGAUUUCCCUAAUCUUGACGGCAAUGUCAUGACGAAGACUGAGUUUUUUGAAACUACCAAAGCAGUUUGAUAGAGCACAAAAGAAGGAACGUACCUUCUUCUUAUAAGGAGCAAGAGCAAGAGCAUUGUCAUCAUCAACGCCCUCAAUCUGCAAUUUGAGCCUUGCAGUGGUCCACUCCUCCAACACGUCUUCCAUGUCAUAAGAUGCGUCUUUGAGCUGAUCCAGCCAAAAAGUAACAGCAUUGUCGCGCUGCAUUUGCCUUUUCUCUGCAUCUUCCAGCACAGCUCGAAUGGCUCGAAGAUUGCGGGUGAGCUUUUUCACUUCUUCCUCGACACCAGUCACAAGCCUCACCUGUUGUUUCACUUCAUCAGCCGCAACAGAGCUCAGCUGCACCAGGAGAGAGGAAACGAUCGCAUCAACCAUUCUGACAAAGAAGACGAGAAUUCUGAAGAGUUAUUAGAUGUGCUUUUGUUGCGAAAAUGCUGAAGAAAAGGAGUUAUUGCAUUCUUUUAUACUGCAUAGAAAAGGUUUAUGCUUAUCCCCAACCCACACGUCAAUGAUUGUAGAAUGUUUAAUUUCCCUGAUUCUACUCCACUAGUUGUGAUGCGUAAUUAUAAAUAUUCUCAAAUUAUGUAUGAAAAUAGCACAAAUUUGGACCUACAAUGAUUUUUAUGAUUUUUGUGUCUUUACUUUUUCAUAAUCUUCUACUGUAAGGGUUCAGAUUUAAUUACUGCUUUAAAAAAUGAGCAAACAAAUAAUAUCAAGCAUUAACUAAAAUUCACAAAGGAAUAAAUAACGAAAGAAAAAAAGAUUGGAAAAGUCAUAGAUGUAAAAUAGCACAUUUUUUUUAAUAAUCUCAAUAAAAUUAUUAAUAUUCAUGUCAGUCCCUAAAAAAUUAAUAAAUAUAACUAAAAAAAUCUUAUUAGUCUCCAUGAUCAAAAUUUAUUGAAAUAUUUUUAGCGUGGGUUAAAAAAAAAAAAAAACUUUCCCAACUUCACACUAGCUAAAUCUUAAAUACAUGUUCCAAUAUAUAUAUAUAGAUAUAUUCUUUCUCGCAGACGUCCGUACAAAAUAAAGUGCGAAUACGACAUUUUCCAGUCUAUCAAAAUGAUUUUUAUUAUUGUAAAACUAUUAAUAAUAAACUAAAAUAUUAUAUUUGCAUAUUAUUUCGUGCAAAAAUAUGUAGAGAGAUAAUAUCUUAAUUUCUAGGGUCCGGCUACGGUGCAACUGUGGUACCUUACCAUAGUUGCAUCCAGUUGUUGGAUACACUUGCAUGGAUAUGUGAAAUACUAACUAGGCAAUCCAAGAAGGGGGGUGAAUUAGGAUUUUAAAAAUUAAGUAAAGCAAACCACACAAAUCCAAUCUAAUGCCUUAAUAAAUUCGAAAACAAUAAAUUCAAUGAAAGCACAAUAAUAAAUGAGUAAGGGAAGAGAAAGCAAACUCAAUGAUUUUUACGUGGUUCGGCAAUCCCCGCCUACGUCCACGCCUCCAACCACACCGGGCUUGAGGAUUUCACUAUCCAAGCCUUUCCAAGGCUUCAAAUGUUUACAAUUGACUUUAAGGUGUCAAUGAACCUUUACAACAAGAGAUUAUCUCUCCAAUCUCUUCACUCCAAGUGUUUCUCACACUUGUACUCUCACAAUUUAAUGAGAAAUGAAAAAUACAACAAUCAAACUCUCUUUAAGAGUGGAUAUACAAAUUUAAGAACAAAGAUGAUUUAAUGAAUGAUGAUUCACGAAAUUGAAGCUCAAUAUAUGUUGUGUGCACUUGUUCUUGCUUUCUUGGAUUACCAAAAAUGAAUUGAUUUUGAGUUUAUAUAGUUUGAACUCAAAAACUAGCCAUUAUACACAUUCUGGGCGUAUCCGGUUUGCCAUUUAAGGAAUCCGGUAAGCUGGAUUUAUGUUACCACUAAGGCAAAAAUUUGAAUUUUGCCUAACCGGCUUGCCGGUUACGAAAUCCGAUAAGCCGUUUGCGUUCCGGAUGCUUACUGCCCCGUAUCCGGUUUUCUAGUUUUUUAUAUCCGGUAAGCCGGAUGCUACAGUAACCUGCAUAGUGCACUAUUUUCUGAAAUUACAGUUUGACCCCAAAACUUUACAAAACUAUAUUACGGCCCAAAAAGUUAUAAAACUUUUCAAAUAGAUCCAAUUUUAGAAUUUAUAAGUAAUGCUUUGUUAAUCCCAAAACUUUCUGAAAUUAUGAUAUAGCUAAAAAUGCUAUGACACUUUUCAAAUAAGUCCUCCAAAAUUUCAAGCAAUACUUGUUUAUUUCAAAGUUUUCAAAAUUCUUUUAAUUAAACCAUAAACUUUGAAAAACAACCAAUUUCAUAAAAUUAUUUUUCCAUUAAAUAUGAAACAUUUAUAAUGUGAAAAUAAUGAUUUAUUUAAAAAGAAUAAAAACAAUCAAUUUCAUAAAAUCAUUUUUCCAUUAAAUAUAAAACAUUUAUAAUGUAAAAAUAAUGAUUUAUUUAAAGAGAAUAAAAACAAUCAAUUUCAUAAAAUCAUUUUUCCAUUAAAUAUAAAACAUUUAUAAUAUGAAAAUAAUGAUUUAUUUAAAAAGAAUAUUAAAUAAUUUGAGCUUAAAAGAUUAAUCAUUCUUAAUUUUGUUUGUUAUCAUCAAAAUCAAUAUUAUGGAAACAUAUAUGUUAACAAUAGGGUCCACUAGUAUCCAACGGCUGGAUGCAACUAUAACACGGUACCACAGUUGCACCACAAGUUUUUCCUAAUUUCUAAUAACAUCAUAAUCAAAAUUUUAUCAACAUUUAUGCGAAGGAGUCCCCACUCUCCACCUGGGGGGAUUUGGCAUUUGAUGAAAAAAGUUAUGCUUAUCCCCACCCACACGUUAGUGGUUGUAGUAGCAUCUUUAAUUUCCCUGAUUCUACUCCACCGAAGAACGAAUGUUUUGUAGUAACAUCUUUAAAUUCCCACACGUUAGGAAUAUAUUCUUAAACUCGUCGCAUCUUUAACGUAUGAGGUUGAUGAAUAUAUUCUUUUCUCAUGUCAAUUUCAAACUCCGAGUAUGUUUCCAACAAUUGCUUUUCUUUUUCUACUUUUGGAUUUUUGAAUCAUAAUUUUUCAAUUCAAUAAUGGCCUCUUCAAUUAUAAAAUAUGGUAGAAGGGGAUGGGGUGUAGUGAGAUCUAGGCCUCCGCGACAACGGCAUCUUUGGACGUGGGUUUCAUCAUUUAUCCUUUUUUAUUUUAAAAAAAAAUUACUUCUUGCAUGAUCUAAUUGGUCUUGUUUCAAAAGAACCAAAAAAAUAAUUAAAAAAAUAACUAAACUAAAAUAAAAUAAAUCAUAUUCUUUAUCUUAAUUGCUUUCAUUUGUGAAUUACAUGUACUCAUGCAUUGUGUUUUUGUAUAUUUUUUUGAUAUGUUUCUUUAAGGGAUAAACUAAUUAUGUAGCAAAAUUUUAUUAGAGCUAGGAUUAUUUAUAUAUGUUCUAAUACUUUGAACAUCUUACUAUACAGUCGUCUAUCAAAUUUUAACAGUAAUUUUUACUACUCAUUAAAAUAUCAAAAUAGUCCUUGUUAAACAUUUUUCAUAAAAAUUUUUUUAUAUACUGAUAUAUUACAAUUAAAAUUCUAUUCCAAGAUAGUCCUUACCUAAACAUCUUUCAUUAAUGUUCAUUUUUUUUAUACACUCAUAUAUUACAAUUAGAAUUCUAUCAAAACUAUCCUUGAUAAUUCUAACAUGGUACAGCCCAAAUUUCUACCCUUGCAUAAUACUAGAGAGAUAUUUAUUCUACUCUUAUUAAUCGAGAGAUAAUUUUAUUUCUAACUGAUUUAAUUGGGAGGAAAAUCGAAAGAGAUAUCUACUCUGUCCUUAUUAAUUGAGAGAUAAUUUUACCCUUACCCAAUUUAAUUAGAAAGGAAAUCGAAUUCCAACAAUAACUAGGACUCGAAUCCAUGCACUUAAGCUAACUUUAAGUUCUUGGACGCAUGGUGAUAAUGUUCUUUAUUUAAAUCCUAACAAAUGGUGGGACUUGAACUUGUGCCUACAAACAUUGAGUGCUCAGGGGCUGCAAAAUUUCAUAACUUAAUUUUAGUUGAUGUGGCAUGUGCCCUAUCACAUAAAUGUAGAUAACGAUAAUUAAUACAUUAACAAAAUGAAAAAUAUUAGUUUACAAAAUAGAAAGCCAAAUUUUUUGUGUGAGAGGGGAUUUAAAAGGUAGAGACUAAACAAAUGUGGUGAAAAACGACAUGUAUUACUAAAACUGAAAAUACGAAGUCUAGGCAACUGAAAACAUCUCUGUCAAUUGCAAUGAACAGAUCACAACCCUUCUUAAUUAAACAAAAUAAAACUUAAAAAAAAAAAAAAAAUACACACACACACACAAAACAAUCACAACACACUAUUUGUUCUGAUCAUCCCUGCUUUUUCUUAGCAUAGCUCUCGGAAAGAAAAGCCAUUAUCUUACUAAUUCAUUUGGUCAUUUGAAACUCCAAGAUCUAAUUCAAAGAGCGCGACUCAAAUAAUGGCAAUUAGUAAUUUAUUACAUCUGCAGUUAGAUACUUUGUUUGAGAAAAAAGAAUAAAAUCAGUUCCAUAAUGAUUUUAAUUACAAUAAAUAUCAUACUAUGGUCUAUGGACACGCCUCAUAUUACAAAGAAAAUAAGUAAAAUAUAAUUAAGGGAUAAAGCUUUCGACAACCAUUUAUAAAAUUGCUUUUGGAAAAUUGUUCUGAUGAAAUGAAAUUAUAUGAAAUUACUAAGAAUUUAAUCUGCCUCUGAAGGAGGAUCAAUUUUAGAUGAUUUUUCUAUUUAUUACUAUUAUGUAGUCGUUAGAAAUUUCAAAAUUUGAGAAUUUUGCUUGUAGUUACAGGUUUCAGUCAUUUUGAUUUGGAGACUGAUUGAUAAUUAAAGCUAAUGCUGCAAGUAAAAAACAAAAUGAAAAAUAAUUAAAAAAUAAAAAUCAAGGAGUUAGGCCCAAACUUUUUAUUAAACUUUUAAUAAAGUCUAUUUGUCAUUUUGUCAUAAUGGAAAAUAAUUAAUAAAAAAUCAAACAACCGGUUUACUUUGACUUUAUUUCACAGAAUAUAAUGUCUGAAAUUUAUAUAUCAUGUAUUCUAGGGUCAAAUCAGUCUUUUUGCACCUAACUUUUAAUAUUUCAUUAAGAAACCGCAAAGAUUAUUUCAAAGCCUUUAGGGUCAUGGUCUCCUCCGGAAGUAGGGAUGGCAAAAUGUCGGGUCGGGCUCGGGCUUGGCCAAGCCCGAGCCCGACCUGAUAAAAAAAAUUUAAAACCCGACCCUAAAAAAGCCCGAACACUAUUUAGUUAGGGUCGGGCCGAGCCCGGCCCGAAUCGGGCCAACAUCGGGUCGGGCCCAACCUGACCCUACCGAAAUAAUUAACCUCACAAUUUAAUUUUCAUUUUCCACCACCAUUUCAACCAAUUCGGCAAUUACUCAACCAUUUCAAACACAAUCUAAUCCACUUUUCACAACUAUUUCAAUCAAUUCCACAACUAUUUCAACCCCACACACAAAUCAAUUCCAAAAUCUAACAUGAAAAACACACAAUGUAAUAAAAUAAAAAACACACAAUGUAAUUUCACAACUAUUUUACCCAUACACAAUUCAAAUUUUGAGCUUGUUUGUUUUUAUUUUUAUUUUUAUUUUUUCAUAUUACUUUAGUCAUUGAAGAUUGUUUUAAUGUAAUUAUCUCAUUUUAGUUCGUUUUUACCAAUUUUCAACAAAAAAUGAAAAUAAAAAUUACUGCUAUGAAAUCAAAUGAAUAAAAAUUAAAAUAAACUACUAUUAUCGAAUCAAAUCGAAUCACCAUCUCUUUGCCCUCUUCUGCAUUAAGGUAACCUUGAGCCACUGAUAGUGUAAUUAGUUCGUCUUUAUACAUAUUGUAGUCUUUUGAAAAGCCUCACCUGUUCACUUCAUCAGCAACAAAGGAGUUCAGCAGCUCUAGGAGAGUGGAAGCGAAUCAAGCGAUCAAAGAAAAGGAGAAAUAAUUUGAUGAGUUAUUAAGCGUGCUUUUGUUGCGAAAAUACCGAAAGAAAAGGAGUUGUCGCAUUCUUUUUAUACUGCAUGAAAAAUGUUUACUCUUAUCCUCUUGUAUCUAAUAGUUUAAAUCUCCAAAAUCUUUCUUUAUUUGAGUUUUAAAAAAAUUAUGUGAAUUUAUUGUAAUUAUUUCUUGGGAGUGGGGGUGGAUUUACAAAAAUUGCAGGGUGAAAAUAUCACUACCUUUUUUGUUUAUUAAUUAUUGUAAAAUGCACAUCUAUCAUAUGAACACAUGUUUUAUUUGAAAUUUACCUCCUACUUAGAAUAACAAUCUUUAAUUUAUUUCUAAAAGAUGUGAAACAUCAAUUUAACUUGUUUAUUUAAGAAGACAAAAUGUAUCUUUUGAACAAAUAUAAGGACAAAUUGAGGUUUUUACCCUUUAAGAAGUAAAUUAAAGUUUGUUAUUCUAGUUUGGCAUUAAAAAGAAGCUUACCUCUGUAAGAUAUAUAUCAGGUAGACCAAGGUGACUUCGUCGUGAAUUCUUGUAAUCAAUUUCUCUUGUUCUUUUAUCUAAUUAGAAAAGAAAAUUAAGGGGAGCAUUGUCUAUCGAAUUGAGCUUCUCUCAAGAAAAACACGCACGGAUGAUUUAUAUAUAACCAUUAAAUAUGUUAAGACUUUUUGUUAUUUUUUGAGUCCUAAAAGUAUGAGAGAAAUUAACAUUUUUUGAAUUUAUUUGUAUACCGUAAAUUAAAGAAUGAAAUUAUUUACAAAAUUAUUUUAACUUUCGUGAUUUAAACAAGCAAUCAUCAUUGAUUUCAAUACAAAGAAGUAUUAUGGGUAGAACCGAUUUCUUUACCAAGAUAUGAUGUACAUGUAUUUGGGACUUCUUACUCUAUUAGCUUAAAUAACUACAUAACAAAUAUGACAUGAUUUAAUUGGUCUUGUUAUUGACAUGUACUAAUGCAUUCUAUUUUUGUAUAUUUUAUUGAUAUGUUUCUCUUGAGGUUGAGGAUAAUUAAUAUUCACUAUGUGGCAAAAUUUUAUUAAAACUAAGAUUAUUUAUGUUCUAAUACUUUGAACAUCUUAAUAUACACUCAUCUAUAAAAUUUUAACACUAAUUUUUGGAUAAAUUAUAUUUUAACCCCUUAUGAGAUUGACAUAUAUUUUAAUUUACUGAAAAAUAAAAAAUAAAAACUUCAAUUUACUCUCUAAAAUCUGUUAAAUUUAACUAUCAACCACUAUUGACUCACUAAAAUACGUUAAUACCCCUGUUAAUUAUAGAAUAACUUAUGUUACUGAUAUAUUUAUGUUGGAAAGAUAUAUCACUUAUAUCCCUACUAUUUCUAAAAUAUAACUAAUUCAAAUUUUAUGUGUGUCAUUAAUGAAAAUCAUCCUCUAAUCUAUUUUUUAAAAAAUAAAACAAAACCUCAAUAAUAAUAUUACAUAAAACAAGCAUAUUUCAUGUUAACCCAACCAAAAACCAUCUAAAAACCUCCUUCUACACAUAGAUACAAAGAAAAUCUUACCCUUAAGAUUCUCGAAUUUAAACAAAAAUUAUAAAUUUUGAAAUAAAAAUCGGAAAAUUUAUAAAAAAGUAAAAUAUUUUUUCCCUCUCUUCUACUUUCUUCAUCUUCUUCGUUCCAUUCCCUGUUCAUCUUCUUCUUCGUUCAUUUUUUUUUUUUUCUCUUUCACUCACUUAACAACUCCAUAGCCACUGUUAAUUCCAAAUCAGCCCAGCAAAACCCAUGUCCAUUGCCCGGCAACACCCAUGGCCUCGCACCGCCAUGUCCAACAAAACCCAUGGAUACGCUAGCAAAACCAUGGCAGCUGGGUACGGGCAUUCCAUGCAAGCCCAUGGCUGUACGCGGCCAAUCCAAGCAAGCCCAUGGCUGCGCGUUGCGACCAUACCAAAGAGAACCUUGCAGAUGUUUUGACCAAGCCGAUAAAUACUGAUAAGUUUGUCUGGAGUAGAUCCUCUUGUGACCUAGCAGAAACGUAGGCAACAUGAUUAUGGCGAAGCAGAAAGGAUGGUGUGGAGAUUGAUUGCUUUUCAAACAAAUCUCCAAGUGGGAGAAUGUCAAAGUUUGGCAAAGUUUGGCAUGGCUGCAUCUUAGCUACAUCUAGAAGCUUGGCAUAAACAAAGAAUGGUGGCACAUGGCUUUAAAACUUGAACAUGGUUUUUACCCACCAAGCUUUGAUGAACAUGGUUUUGAAGAAGUUUUUAAUAUCCAUGGCUUUGACUUCCUUAGCCUUGAUUUUGCUAUAAAUACAAGUGAAAUUGAAGAGCUUAUUCAUUCCAUUUUUUAGAGCAAUUAAGGGAGUUGAGAGAGAGUUUAAGAGCUUGCAUUUAUAAGCUCUUAUUUUAGUGAUUUGAGAGUUUGGGUGUAUUGGGGUUUUGGGUAGUGAGCUAAAAUACUACAAUACUUGUAACUCCUUUUCACUAGUAAAAUAUUUCCUUCUGUCUUCGCCCGUGGAUGUAGGCUAAAAGCCGAACCACGUAAUUUUCGGUGUCCUCUAUUGUGCUUGUUCUUUAUUUUAUUUCCAAUUUUAUUUUAGCUGCGGUCCUGCUGCACCCACCAAUUUCCUAACAUUGACUACAUUAACUCCAAGAAAUUUAUGCAGUCACCUUCCUCCGGACUAUCUUGUUUGACGCCAAGGAGCCCAAGCCCAGAAACAAUGGCACUCUUUGGUAUCAACCACCUGGGGACUUUUGAGCUCAGCCAUGACAUCCUGAGAUGGGCUGUUGUGUAAGCCUUCUUCAAAAGGUCAUCCGUUGAUCUUUCUCCUAAUUAGACCAUCAAAACCCUGCAUGGAAUCCAUUGGAGAAGUUGGACAAUAGACAAACUCCAACACAUAUAGACAGUAACGAAGAAUUUAGACCGCAAUCACUGUGGCUGAACAAAUGGGCCUAUUAAAGCCUAUUAAAAGUUGGAACCAUAUUCACCACCCGCAUUUCCUAAGAGAACUAUAUCAGAAUUCUGUAAAUUUGAAACUAUUCUUACAUACUUAACUGUAAAACAAGAGAAAUUGUACUUCCGUAGCAAAGUCUCACUAUUGGUAAGUAUCUGGACUUGGAAAGGAUGCUAGUAGAUUAAGUAAAGGAAAAUUGAAAUCAGACUUUGAGGUGAUAGAUCUAUAUCCACUUUUAUAGGAACCGCAUUAACAUCAUAUGAGACAAAUAAACAAAUAACCCAGUCAAAGUUCAACAAACAAAACAUUAAAACAAGAGUAAUUUGGUCUAUCAAUGUAUAUUUAGAGAUGUCGAUCAAUAGACAAAUACGUAAAAGAGAGACGGAGAGACCUCGAAGCCGUGCUUAAGAACAGUGGUACUCCAAUAACAUCAAAAUGGUUGGUGACCGUUCUAUCAAAUCCACACAAUAGCUGAUAUCUCAUGUUUGCAUAUAGUCCAAUGAAAGCACCAUAACCCGGCGCUUUAGUACUUACUUGAGUUCACUUGAGUUCCAGGAUAAUAUUAUGCCCAAAUCCCCAAUACCUUCUAAUAUCUCACUCACUUGAGUUCAAGCUCCCAAAAUUCACUACAGUGAAACUCUCACAACAAAAUUCUCUUCAAAGAUUCUCUACUCAAAUUUGAUUAAGCUGCUUAGAAUCCUUAACCUGAUAACUUACACAAACAAAAACAACUUGCCUAAAGUUUAAUAUUUAGAGGCAGAACAGUAAAGAAGAAGAUAUAUAUUGAUACUAAAAUUUGACCUGUAUUGAAGCAGAAGAAUCACGACAUCUCAUGUGGGCAAAAUCUUCACAAUACGAGAUGCUUGCAAAAUUGAAGCAGCAUCUUAUCACCUGUAAUUUAAUUAAGACAAUAACUUUCCCCAACUAUUUCAAUGCAUUAUUGGCAACUAAAUUCAGAGAGCGCUAAUUAAAUAUCCUUUUAAUAAUAUCUUCUUAUUCUUCUCCAAUCUAACAGUUAUUUGGAAAUCUGAAAAGAGGUUCAACAUUUUACAACCAAUCAAAAAUCACUGAACCAUUGGAAAGUGAUUUACGUAUAAUUUUUUUUUUUCCAAACUCUGUCCAAAAUGAUGAAUGAGAUAGGAUGACACAAGAAACAAAUGUAAAUUGACCGCAAGUAGAAAUAUACUUCUGUUAUAUUUGCAACAUCUUCUAGUGUCAAUUGCUAUUCCUUGAGCUCUGUUUCUGCAUGUGCUCAAAUGCAACACACAUACCACAAGAUAUAAUUAUCAACAGGAUCUCCCUAAGUUACAUGCAUGUAACUUAGCAUUAGUCUUGUCAACAUGAAUCUUUUGCCGCUACAUGCAGCCCGUGGAAAACUGUUUAUGGCCAUAAAGAACGGGAUAAUCAGAAAUCAUUAACAACGAGAGAAAUCAUUUUAAUCGCAGCCAAACAUACACACUAAGAAAAUCUAAAAUUUAAUUACUCCCAAUGAAUGUGCCUCUUCACAGCAAUUGCACUAGCUAAUCCCAGCAGCCUGCGUCAUGGAGCUUCUCCCAAUGAGUGAGUGAGCCUUCAACAGUUUAACGCAGUAUGAAUGUGCCUGCAAGUUACAAUUUCAGUCCCCAUGUAAUAGAAACAUUUUGUACACAUAUUUAUAGCAAACUAAUAUUUCAUACCUCACAAUAUUUAUCAUAACCAUCAAUCUUUAGAAACCACAUGCUGACUUUUUAACUGUUUAUGGCCCAAAAUAACAGGAAAAUUAGAACAGAUUUUUAAGAAUGAGCCACUACAUAUUUCAAUGGCAACUAAAAUUACACAUCUUGGAAAUCUAAAACUCAAGUACUCAGAAUGAAUGUGCCUCUUCACAGCAAUUAAACAAGCUGGGAACUUUAGUGCAAAUGCUUUUUCAUAAUCUUCAAUUGCAUAAGUCAGUUAGAAUCAAUCUUUCUUAAUCUUUCAAUUCACACAUGAGAGCCUGGUAACACAAGGAAACACUGUAAGUGAAUUGUCAACUCUGACAUAUUUUGGGUAAAAACUAUCAACUGUAGUUAUCCGCAUAACAUAUAGUGUCAACACCAAAUUCCUUCCUGAUCCGUGGAAGCAUUUCAGCCCACAGACGGUUUGCUUUGUCAAUAUAUAUCAAGCUUUGUAGCUUUUAAGAAACUGAGAGGUGAAAGACCUGGAAUUUUCGAUAGCAAGUCAGGAUUCUAUAUUACACAGAAAUGAUUACAAAAUUACUUUCCAAUUUCAUAAGGUAGCGUAAUGCCCUUUUAAGAAUAUCUACACCAGCCUGACAAUUAUUCAUGGAAAUUCAAAUUCAAAAUCAUGUUCGUAUGAGAGAUGAAAUGUAAUGAGCGACUUGGCCACUAUAUAUGCAUUUAUCAUCUUCAAUUUGCUCAUCUUUGUCUACAGUAUUGCUUCUGCGUUAACUUAAUUAGCGUGCAAGCCACCUGAAAAUGGUUUUAAAUGAUGAGAAAGAGUCUGAAUUCGAAAGAAUCAAUCAAAUAUGAUGACAGAAAACAAAAAAGUAAAAUAACCAAAAGAAGUAGAAAUAUACACUAUAGGUAUUAUUCUUUUCCAUUAGCCUUGUUUCUGUGUGUGCUCAAACGCAAUUCCUCAACGCUCAAGAUAGUUCCUGCGGACCUGAAAAACUGGUUGUGGCCAUAAGGAACUUGAAAAUUAGAAAAGAUUCAGAAUGAGUGACUAAAUAUUUUAAUCAAAACUAAUUAAACAUACACGCCCUGAAAAUCUGAAACUGAAUUACUCAAAUGAAUAUGCCUCUUCACAGCAAUUGGUUGAAACUUUACUGCAAAGACUUUUUGAAACCCUUGAAGAUGAUACUCUACCUGAUAACACAAGGAAACACAAUCAAUAUAAGAAGAUGAUUUUACAAACAAAUGAAAGCUUGCAGUUAUUGGGAGAGCUCUACUCAAAUUUAAUGAGAUAUCUCUCAGGAGGGAGAGCUCUAAUAAUAUAUAAAGCCAAAAAUCUGAAAAUGUCUAACACUCAUCAAAUUGGCUUGUGAAGAAUUAAUCUUCCUUGCCAUCAUACAUGCCAGGUGUGGUGAACAAUCUUCAUUCUGACAUUUGCCUUAAUAAGCUGCUUAGUAUCCUUAACCUGAUAACAUACACAAACAAGAACAACUUUACUAAAGUUUAUUCUUUAAAGGUAAAACAGUAAAGAAGAUGAUAUAUGCUGAUACAAAAAAUUGACCUGAGUUAUCCUGAUGUCAAGAAUCACAGAACCUCAUGUGGGCAAAAUCAUCGCAAUACAAGAUGCUGAAUUCAAGCAACAUCUUAUCACCUGUAAUUUAAUUAAGACAAUAACUUUCCUCAACUAUUAGCCUUUUCAAUUUCAAUGUAUUAUUGGCAACUAAAUUCAUAGGGGACGUAGCUAAUUAAAUGCCCUUUUAACAAUAUCUUCCCCACCUAACAAUUAUUUGGAAAAUCUAAAUGACAAUCAUGCAUUGAUGGCAUCAAAAAUUGGCCACAAAGCUGCCUACAAAAAGGCUUUAAAUUCUUAAUGAGACAACGUAUUCGAACAAAUAGGGUGAAUGAAGAGACAAAGGCAUAACACCUCAAGAAGUAAAGCUCUGUUUCUGUAUGUGCUCAAACCAAUGGAAACCCAUGGAAAUGAAUUUCUACUAAUUAGACAUGUCAGCCAAAACAGGUACUCUGUACAAGCAAAGUAAAAGAGAGUUACAAAAAAUUUUAAGAUAAUUAAACUUUCAGUCACCAUAUAAUUAAUAGAAAACUUUGUACACAAUGAUUUAUUGGAGAUUAAGAUUGUAUACAUAAGUUUUAAUUGCAAACUAAAUAUACACAACAUGAUAUUAGCAUUAGAAGACCGCACCAAAACGUACCG